rnacentral:lncRNA from 1 species
AAACACAAAGUUCAUGGCAUGUACAAGAAAAAAAGAUAAGAGAUGACUCACUUAGAUAGCUCACAUAGACAACUCACAUAAAUGUCUCACAUAACUUAUGAUUUGUACAAUAUAUAGGAACCAUAGACGACUCAUCAAUAAACACAAGAAGUCAACUGGCCUCCCACGACCUAAGUUAAUUAGGAUGUCUAAUAUGAGAUAUGGUUAACAAUAUGUCAUUAUGUCACGUCUAUUAGACAAUGGGGUGGUCAAGAAUCACAAGAAAUGACCCAAUAGUCUCAACUCAAUCAUAAAUAUCCAAAAAUAUAUCCACACAUCUGACGAAUCCUCAGCCACAAAGUAUCCAAAGAGCGGUCGUCAAAGGUCUCAUGAAGCCUAGACCUCUAUCAUGUAACUCAUGGCAUGCUCAAUAUAAGGAAAAAAAGGAAAUAACUUAUGUUCAUGCUUCAAGUACGAUAUACAUUGUCAAAAUGAACAUACUCAUACUUCAUGUUCAAAUUCAUGCCUUCUAUUCAAACUCAUGUUCAUAUUUGAGUAUUAUGUCUCAUCUUCAUGCAUAGAAUGUCUAGAUAUGAUGAUCAAUACUGUAGAAUUUAUGUACGGAUGCUCAAAUACUAUAUACGAUACCAAUAGAUAUAGAAGAAAAUUUGCCGUUUUCGGCGACUCGGAACCCACCUCAAUGUGCUAUGUCAGCUACAGUAAGAAAUCCGCCACUCACGUGCUUUUCCCCAGCUCACGAUCACACGAAAACACUACAUAAGGCAAAACUUUUGGAAUUACGACGUAUAUCGAAUUUUCUAACUGCACCUAAAUCGCCUCAAUUGAACACCAAUUACCUUAAAAUUCGAGUAGCUGGACGCGCGCCGCAAACUCUUUUACACCUCUCUACACCCUGCGACGAUCAAUUGCGAAGUUAGAGGUGCGAAUUGGGCCAAUUCACACUUUGUUUCAUCCUUUCUUUUUCUUCCCCCAUUCUUUCUUUCUCUUUCUUUCUCUCUCUUUCUUGCUUUAAUUCUUUCCUUCUCUUUCCUUUUCUUCUUCUUCUUUUUUUUUUUUUUUUUUUUUGAGGAAACAGGGAUAUACCCUAUUUGAAUAGAAAGGUGGAAGGGGUUACAAAGAGUCGAAUACAACGCUCGCUAAAGGCCCAACAGCAAAAGGGUUGGUCGAAACAGUGACCAUACCACAAAGAAACAGAAAUUACAUCCAGACUAUACCAAAGAGAAUAAAAGAAAUUUCCUCUUGACCUGGAGUAAAAAAACUCAUUCUUCCUUCAUCCAUUUAGCCCUGAUGUCCAUAGCGUAACCAAGCUCUGAACUCUACAAGCAGUAUUCUCCGUUUGAGUUGGUCAUUCGUCGAAUAUGCGUCUAUUUCGUUCUUUCCAAAUUUCCCAACAUACCGCAGCAAAAUAGAGAUCAAACCGUUUCUUUUUUUUUUUUUCUUUUUCUCCUUCUUCUUCUCUUUUUUUCUUUUCUUUCUUUCCCUGCUCUUUUUUUUUUUGUUUUUCUUUUUCCUCAGGCAUCAUUAAGUUUGAUCAUUAAGAUCUAUUGGGUCGAAGUAACUAAAAACUAAUGAUAAUAUUACUGACUCGUCAGAACUAUUUCGAUAUCUCAUUUUUAGUUUCUACCCAUGAUGAAAUUUUUGUAAAUCCAUAUACAUACGGUUCUAGUUAUUACAUUUCUUUCUUUCCAACCAUUCUUUCAUUCAAUCCCGUUCUUUACUCUUCUAUAUCCUUGAGUUGCUGCUGCUGCCGCAGCCUGCAGCAGUAUUGGCAGCAGCAGCAAGGGAGGAAAGGGAGAGAGAAAAAGAGGGAAAGAGAAAGAAAGGAAAGGAGAAGAAAGAAAAGAAUCUUCUUCUUCUUUUACUUCUCUUUCUCUUCUUCUCUUUUGUUUCUUUCUUGCAAAGAAAAUCUGAGAGAAAGAGAGAAGAUAAGGUUGAGCCCUCUUAGUGGAAUUCCACUAAGUUGGCUAUUUUGAAACUUAGUCCAUCACUUUUCAUAAUGACAAUUUGGUCCCUCCUAGUGAAAAAUUGGUUCAAUUCAUUCGUUUUUACGUCAAUUUCGCGCCAAAACGGUUUCACUUCAUUUAAACUUCACGCUCACAUGCUAACUUGCAACCUACACUGCGUCCAAAUAAUAAAAAUUGACAUUCUACAAUUAGGUACCAUUUGUAAAAAUUGACAUUCUACAAUUAGGUACCAUUUGGUUCGGGUAUAAGUAAGAACUAGCUAUUACAGGGAUAGAUAUAAGUAUGGGGAUAAGAAAAAUAGUGUUUGGAUAAAAAUUGGAUUGUUUCCGGGGGUAAGAACAAUUUUAGGUAGUUUUAUAUAGAAAAUAAAGAGGUGUUGGUAGGGAUAACCGAGAACUACUAUUCUCAGAUAAAAAAUUAGCGUUUGGAUAUAGAGGGGGGAUAAGGGCCUAUUCCUAUCCCUAUCCCCUAAUCAAACGCUGCUUUAGAGUUACUGCCGGGAAAGAAUUAAAUUUACAGGAGAAUAGAAUGUUGGAAAGAGAUAAAAGUUAAUUACUUUAGUCCUAUCUCCUGGUUAAUAAAGAUAAAUUUAAUUAUUUUGAAUUUUAUUAUUGGUUGAAUUUUCUUCUUAUUUUUUCUAAACAUUUGUAAUAUUAAUAUUAAUUAAAUUUGUAAGAAAGGUUCUUAAUAAGCCUAAAUUGACUUGUUGUUCGUGUCGAGUCAAGUCAAUGCACUGCAAUAUGACCGUACAAUCAAUCAUUCUUUCUUGGCAUAAUUAAUUAUUAUUCAUUUCUUACUCUCUUUUUUUAUAUUUUUAUUUUUUUUCUAUUCCUACGUUCCGAAUUAGUUGCAGCGCGCGCGAGAAUGCCGGUGCUAGAGCCGAUCAUAUUGGCAGCAGUGGGAUGGGUGGCGUCUCCCGUCGUGGCGAAGCUGCUCAACAAAGCCUUCGCCAGCUCAGGCCUCAAUGCGGAGAAAAAGCUGCGGAAGCUGAGGGUCACCGUCCUCCAGGUGCUGAAAUCGGUGAUCGAGAAAGCGGAAGGCGGCGAGUACCGCAGCGAGGUGGAGGACUGGCUGCAGAGGCUCAAAGACGCUUACGACGGCGUGCAGGACGCGCUGGACCUCCUCAACAACCGGCGCCUCAAACGCGCGGCGGCGGCGGCGGCGGCGGCGAGCAGUAGUGAAAGGCAAACUAAUCCGGUACGUGCUCCUAUCCACGUGCCAAAACACCUGAAAUGGGCUAUACCAGUCUUAAAAGGUGGUCGGGAUAUGCUGUCACCUUACAAGAUCAAGCUGAAGAUCAGGCUGAACAAGCUUGAAAAGAUCGCCAACGAAGCCGAGACACUCUGCAAAUUGCUAGACACCAAGUCUGAUCAGGCAGUAGCGCCCUACGGGCAGACCAUCUCGCAGCCUCAGCGGAAAGUGUUCGGCCGUGACGACGGUUGUGGAAAAAAAAUCACUCGGCCCCUGAAAACGGAACCUGCAGCAGCAAUUCGCGACCCUGGAUCAUCAUCAGGCAUACCUAUAAUCGCCAUAGUCGGUCGCGCGAGGGUCGGGAAGGCUACUCUUGCACAGGACAUUUGCGAGCAGCUGAGGAGCGAAUUAGCAGGUGACUGCGGACAUUUCUUCGAUCUCAUCAUGUGGGUCGACGCAUCUCGCAGUUUCGACGCAUCCGAAACUAUGAAAAAAAUAAUACAACAACAACAACAGCAGCAAGCUUCUACUGUGAGCGAGCCUCAAGAUCCGGUUAAUCUCGACGAUCUACCCGUAACGAUCGAUACCCGUCUUCGUAAUCUCGACACUACGGUCGUGGGCGACCUUAACUCGCCUGAGGCGCUGCGACUGAAAAUGAACGAAAAGCUGAAGGCGGAGAAGUUCCUGCUAGUGAUCGAUGAUGUCUGGUGCGACAGGGAAGACCGCGGGAAGAAUUGGGCUGCGCUAUUCAGAUGUUUAGGCAAAUGUUGUUGUGGUUUGCCAGGGUCUCAAGCGAACGACACCCACCGCCUCGAGGGCGACGUCGCGAGGCUCACGGCGGUGGCGGAGGUGAGGGAGGGGGAGAUCGUCGCGCUGGAGCGGAGGGUGGGGGCUGUCAAAGAGGCCGAGGAGGAGGCGGCGAGAGCGAGCGCGCGGCGCGAGGAUGAUCUGAGGAAACAGAACUCGCUUCUGGUGGACACGAUCCGGGAGAAGGACGACGCCCUGAUGAAGCUCCGCGAGAGGAACUCCUCGCUAGAAGAGGAGAUCAUCAAGCUUACGGAUGCCCUCGUGGUGCUCGAAGGCGAGAAGAAGAACACUGCCGCAGUGCUCGGUGCCGUAGCGCUCGGGGCGGUGGCGGCGGCCGCUGCGGCUGUGACUGCGGUUUACCUUCACCGUAGUAGAAGGUAGAGGUAAUGAGCAUGAGCACUCUCUCAUUAGCGUUUUCGGUUGAUGCUAUUAUCCCCUGUUGUUUCAGCAUGUUCUUAAUCGUCAUAGGUUUACUACUUUUUUCGCCGCAGAAGUAACAUAUCUGAUGAGGGUUUUACUCAUCUGCUGCCAUUACUGCUUUGUCGGGCAAAACUGUUGUUGCCAAGUGUUUCAAACGCUGUCUUGGCAAGUUUCUGAUAAGAUCAAUCAAUUGUAGCCUAACUUUUUAACUGGAAAUGAAAUGAAAUGUUGUUGUGUCAGAUUUUCGUUAGGGCAUGAAGAUUUGUCUCUUGGUGAACUCUAUUUUCUUAUGUAGUGUGAUUUGUGAGGAUUUGGAUUUUUUACAGAAGUGGAAAAGUAAUCUUGACUGUGUUUGCUUUGUUGUUCUGUCUAUAUUGUGAAUUCUUCUUGAUGUUCUACUUUCUUUGUGCUGCCUACUUAAUCGCUUGGCCGUUCGUAAUUUGAAGUACUAUGGGAAUCUCGAAGAGUUUGUGCAUCCCUUUGAAUGCUUUUCUUGGGAAUUUUCUGAUAAGAUUUGUAGCCCAACUUUUUGACUGGAAUGCUGUUGCCUCAGAUUUGUAUUAGGGUAUGAAGAUUUGUCACAAUCGGUGAAUGCUAUAGUUCUUACAUAGUGCUAUUUGUGAUGAUUUGGGUUGCAAAACAGGGAAAGUAACCUUGAUCGUGUUUAUUUUGUUGGCCUGUAUUGUGAUGUGCUGCCUACUAAGUUACUUGGUUGUUUCUGAUGAAGUUGAAGUAUUAUAGUAAUCGCGAACAAUUUAGUGUCCCUCUGAAUGCUUCUGGGAAGGUUUUUGAUAAAAUGUGGCCUGACUUAUUUGAUUGAAAUCUUCUUAACUCAAAUUUUGUUACAGCUUGAAAUCUGCCAUUUGGUGGAUGAUUUCUUACAUAGUGCUUUGUGAGAAUUUGGUUUGUGAAAGAUUGAAGAGCGACUAUGUUCUUGAUCUUGUUUAGUUGUUGUUCUGUGUUGCCGGUUCUCCGUACCCCAUUUUAACUGUGUUGCCUACUGGCCGGCACACUUGGUUGUCCCUUAUGAUUUUAGAAUUAUCAGGUAGUCUUGAAGCUCUUGUCAAAUUUGGUUUGAGAGUUUGUUUUAGAAAUUUGCUGCUAUCUGGGAUUCUUUGCUGAAUUGAAGUUUGGAAGCUCCCGGCACUGAAACACUUAUUAGCAUGUGAGUAUUUCUGGGCAAUGGCUCUUCACACCAUCAUCUAUUGAUUAGUUUCCCUUCUCUUCGGAGUGCUAGAAACACUCUAGUUGUUGUCAGUUCGUGCGGAAACAGUUUAGAAGUUUCAUUGAAGUUAAUUAAGUAUUCGGUUAUACUGUCAAUUUUCCUCUGCUCAGUGCUCACCCACUUAUAUUAUGAAAUGGGUAUCUGACUCUUCAAUCUUGGGGAUGCUCGAGUCUCGAGAUUACGUUCCACUUCCACUUAUUAGUACUUUAACAAUUAUAUAUUUCUACCACCGACCACCGUCUCUAGAGCAAGUGGUAAAUGAUUUUGUGGUUGAUAUCUGAGAUCCUAAGUUCGAAUCUUAAUUGAUUCACAUUUUCAACUAAGUUUAUUUUUAAAAUAAAAUAAACGAAGCGGGUAGCGUGCUAUCUAUCUCUCUCAAAAAAAUGAAGCGGGUAGCGUGCUAUCUAUCUCUCUCUGAAAAAAAAAAAAAACAAUUGUAUAUUCUUAUAUAUAACAUACUUCAAUAAUAAUAGACAAAAGACUCCAAAAAUAAUACAAAUAAUACAAAAAGACUUCAAAUAAAGACUUCAAAAAUAAUACAAAUAAAUAAUUAAAGACAAUAUAUUUAAAACAUUAUCUAUUUAAUAUGUUUAGAACAUUAUAUAAUAUUUUAUUUUAUAUUAUAUGAUAUAUUGUAGGAGAAGAUAUAAAACAAAUUUUUAAAAAUAAUAAAGAUAAUAUAAUAUAAUAUAAUAGUAGCCAGUAGUUAUUGCAGUACUAAUCAUUAUCAUAGUAAUAAUAAUAAGAUAUUUUAAUCUUAUUAUAAAAUAUUAUUAUUAUUAUUAUUAUUUUUACCUAAUCUAAAAAUGUAUAUAUAUAUAUAAUAUAAUAUUAUUAUAUAUAUGAUUAAUAUAUAUAAUAAUACUAUAUUAGACUAUACUAUAUACUAUAACAGAUCAUCAGUCGGUCUCCUAAAUAACUAUCAAUGUACUGGGCUACUCCGAUACUAUACCCGCUCUGUUCUUCGAUGAUUAGGUGUUCAAAUCAACGUUCACACCGUUAAAUGAUCAGAAUUAUUUAUAAGUUUUUAGAUAUAAAAAAUUUUAUAUUUUCUCGACACUAUUAUUUGAUGAUUAAACCUAUUUCAAAAUUGUCAAUCUUAAUGCCUAACUACAAGCGAGUUUGGAGUUUAACAGUGUAGAAGAAUACUAAAUUUCUUCAAAUUUGAUAAGAAAUUAGUUAAACCUAUCUAGAUUAAGGUUACAUUCUUGAUCUGACAUUUAAAAAAGUCCUAUAUCGGUCAAAUUUAACAAUUAUUCCAUUUCCACCGUGCUAGUUUGACAUAUUAUUUACUACAAAAACUAAAAAUUUAUUCCUAAACAAUUAUAAUACCCUAAUAUUAUAUUUACAACGGUGUGGGAUUAUUAAUUUGAACCCCUAGCCAGAAUCGUAAACAAGACUAUAGUAUCGAGCUCCGUAUAUAAUAAGUAUAGUAGAGCCUAAUUAUAUAGUAAUUAGUAUACUACAUAAUAGAUAAAUACAUAUAUAUAUUAUGGACUAUAUAUAAUAUAUAUAUAUAUAACAUUUUUAUAUUAAUUUUAUUACAAUAAUUUAUAAAAGUAUUCUAUUUUCUUUAAAAAUUGGUUGCAACAAUGUUAUAUUUUUUAUGUUAAUUUGUUUCUAUAAUAGUUUGCCUUUUUAUUAUUGAAUUAAUUAACUAUUUCACAACCCCCACAAAAUUUUAAUCAGCAUCUAAUGUCAAAAUUGUUUUUUAAAAUAGUUACACUAUUCUACUAACAUACUACAUAAUAGCGUUGUUUCACCACUCUCUCUCUCUUCCUUUUGUCUCUCCGAUCUCUCUCUAUUCUUUAUAUCAUAUAUAUAGAUGAAAUAAGAGAGAGUUCGGCUAUAUACUAUUGAUAUACUAACCCUUGAUACUAACUUGUAGUUUUCCUACGUUAGACUCUACCUUUGAUCAUUUACGCACCUUAGAUAUACCUAUUAAAAUCAAACCAUCCCACCCACUCAACGCCUCAGGGGACCACUAUCAUCGCUAACAAGCACAUUUCCUUUCUCACACGGUUGAGAAACUCGAUAGUACCAAGGUUUGUACCAUCGAUCAUGCCAUAGUAGCAUAAUUCUAUAAUAUAAUUAUAUAUAUGAGUAUAUAUAAAUAUAUAUAUAUAUAUCAUAUAGAGAGAUAUAAAAUGUAUAUAAAGAGGAGAGAGAGAGAGAGAGAGAUGAGAUGAAGAUAGAGAGAGAGAGUCGGCUGCUAUGCAUCGAUAGCGAACCGACUGAGGGUGGGAGAACACUUUUGGGCAUCAUGUUUCUGUCGUUAGAUUAACCGCUUUGAUUAUUUUUACCCUUAAACUAUGCUAUUCAAACCAUAUCACCUACUCAACCUUAGGGGCCACAUCAUCCUAACCGCACAUUUUUCAAUCUAAGGACCGAAAACACUAAUAGCACCUAAAUUUUUGUGCUUUGAUAGUAAUUCCAGCCAGUUCUAUCUAUACUAUAGUAAUAUAGAAACGAUGCGGAAUUAGUAUCAUAGCACCAAGCAAUUAGGCAAAGUAAGGUUCUUGUUUGCUACUGAGGAGCAGGGAGGCCUCCGUGCUUCUAAGCCGUUUUCGAUGAUGGAGCUUCUGAAUCGAUUAUCAGCUCCGAUAACUUGAUCUAGUCUAUUUAAAGUAACUAGAAAAUAAAUUUUACGAUUUUUCGAUAUCAUUUACUUAGUGAUCGAAAGGGUUCAAAAUUAAUGGCUGAAAAUAAAAAUUUCACGAAAAAUGGUGAUAUAACAUUAAAAUUUUUGAUCAGAGAUAUUGAUCUUGCAGUAAAUAGAAUAAAUUCUAUCAAAAUUUCACUGAUUUAAAUACUUCUACACCGUUAAACUUGCAAACGAUAAAUAUCAACUUUUAAAAAUUAUUGAUUUUGAACCCUUUCGAUCGAUAGGUAAAUGUGAUCCGGGCUGUUUCCCUCUCGACGAUGAAGCUUAUCCCCCAUUGUCUCACUGGCUGACCUUGACCCCGAGGGAUCUUGAACUAAGAAAUAGACCUAGAAGCUAAAAGAGGGUAUCCUGAGCAAUUGCAAGAAUUGGGUUCAUUGAUAUUCCUGGUAUAGUAUAAGGGAAAAAUGAAAAAGGCAGAUCAAGAAAUCCUCCUUUUUCUUCGGUUCGGACUCUCCCAAAUAAAAAAUCCGCCCUAAUAACUAACCAAUUUGUGGGUUAUGGAAUAGAUCAAAGUCUCGUUAUAAGACUAAGAACUCCGCGGGCCCUUUCCGCUCUAAUCGGAAAAUCACAAAAUUUAUUUUCUAAAUACUUCAAAUACGCUAGAUCAAGUCUAACGGAGUCGAUCGUCGAUUUGAAAGCUCCAUUGUCGAAAAUGGCUUAGCAGCACAGAGGCCUAUGUGCUCCUAAUAGCAUACAAGACCUACUAUAUAUAUAUAUAUAUAGAAGAGAGAGAGAGAGAGAGAGAGAGAGAGAGAGAGAGAGAGAGAGAGAAAACAUAUAUAAGAGAGAGGUGGGAUGGGGUGCUUGAGAAAAAAUAUUUAAUUUAUUGCGGCACCUAAUCGUUUUGCACGUUUAACUAGCUCAAAUCUUAAAGCAACAUGAACAACGGUGAAGAAUGUCGCUUUUACCAUACAAAUAACUCGUACAAUGGGGCAACAUAUAAUGUUUGCUUGUGCUCAAUUCGAAUCUCGCCAAAGGUAAGAGUGGGAUGAUCUUUCACCUUUUCUUAAAACCGUUCAUUUUUUGCUGUGCCAAUAGUGUGAGCAGGAAUUUUCUAUUCACCUAAUAACAAAGAAGCUACUGUCAUAGUUCAGUAAGCAAAUAGUUCUUGUAGAAGCCCAUAUGCUAUUUCUUUCUAGCGUUUGUUGUUACCUGUGCACGUGUACGGACAAAGAAAGGAGAGUACUCGCCCAAAAAAGCAGUAAACCAAGAUUCCAAACCAAGUAAAUGAUGAUGCAGUUUAUCUCCCCGUAUAUUUAAAAGAUUGCGAGGUAAACUAUUUGUGAUUUUCUUUUUGUUUUGGUUUUAUUUGAACGUGUACGGCCAAGUAAUUUUGAUUGCNNNNNNNNNNNNNNNNNNNNNNNNNNNNNNNNNNNNNNNNNNNNNNNNNNNNNNNNNNNNNNNNNNNNNNNNNNNNNAGAGAGAGAGAGAGAGAGAGAGAGAGAGAGAGAGAGAGAGAGGGAGAGAGAGAGAGAGUUGAGCUAGAAUGCUUGAUAGCAAACGGACUCCGUUGCCACCCAUUUGUUUCGAUGAUGGAGCCUCUGAAUUGACGAUCGACACCAUUUAACCUGAUCUAUACCACUUGAAGUAUUUAGAAAUCAAAUUUCAUAUAUUUUCGAUAUUGUUCUCCUAUCCAUCGAGUGGACACAAAAAUAAACGGCUGAAAAUAAAUAUUCUUUAAAAAAUGAUGAUAGGAGUCUUAUAAUCAAGAUCAAGAGUGUAUAUCUUAUUUUAGAUAGUUUAAAGAAUUUUCUAACAAAAAUUCAAUUGAUUUGGAUAUCUUUACGCCGUUAAACGAGAAAAUGCCUCGUAUCGACCUUUAAAAUUAUAAAUUUUGAAACCCUUUGAUCAUUAGGCAAAUGAUGACGAAAAGAUUUGAAAUUUGAUUUGUAAACACUUCAAGUGGUAUAUAUCAUGUUUAAUAGUGCCGAUCGUCGAUUUGGAGGCUCUAUCAUUGAAAACAAAUGGGUGGCAACGGAGCCCGUUUGCUAUCGAUAGUAUUCUAGCUCAACUCUCUAUAUAUAUACAUAUAUACAUAUACAUCUACAUAUAUAUAGAGAGAGAGAGAGAGAAAGAGAGUUGAGCUAGAAUACUUUGGAUUAUUUUGCUAUCGAUUUUUUAGCCAUUAAAUUUACACUUUAAUUAAUUCCAUCCUUUAGAUCAUACAAUUCAACCAACCACCCACUCAACCCCUAGGGAGACCAUUACUAAACCCUAGAGGACCACUAUCAUCCUAACUCUGCAAUUUUUCAUCAAGGUUUAAAAACUCGAUAUCAAAAGAGCCUAAAUACUAUAAAUGGUAUUCCAGCCCAUAUAUAUAUAUAUAUAUAUAUAUANUAUACUAUUAAUAUAAUUGUUCGACAUCACUUACAUAUCAAACGAGUAUUCUAAAAAUGAACUACUGAAAAUAAAUUCUUAUAAAAUAUGACGAUAAAAGACUUGAAUUUAAGAUCAAAGAAACUGAUUUUACUGUAAAUAGGAAAAAAAUUUCUAUAAAAAUUUCAUCAGAUUUGGAUUGUGUGUAAUCGUUAAAUUCACAAAUCCAUCACAUCGACCAUUAAAAUUGUCAAUUUUGAGACCUUUUGAUCAUUAGUCAAAUAAUGUCAAAAAAUUAUAAAAUUUAGUUUCUAAGUAUUUUCUAACGGAGCCGAUCGUUGAUUUGGAAACCGCAUCAUCGAAAAUAACUUAGUAGUAAGGAGGCCUCCGUACUCCCGAUAGUAUACCAACCUAGUUCUAUAUAUAUAUAUAUAUAGAGAGAGAGAGAGAGAGAGAGAGAGAGAGAGAGAGAGAGAGAGAGAGAUAGAGAGAGAGAGUUGCGCUGGAAUGCUAUCAGUAGCAAAUAGGCUCUAUUGCCACCCAUUUGGUUUCGAUGAUGGAGCCUCCAAAUCAAUGAUCAGCACCGUUGAACAUAAUUUAUACCACUCGAAGUAUUUAGAAACCAAAUUUCACGGUUUUUCGAUAUUAUUCUGUUGUCCAUCAAGUGGACACAAAAAUGAACGACUAAAAAUGAAUGUCUUUUAAUCACUAAGAUUUUUAACUAAAAGUUAAAGUUUGAGGACUUAUUUCAAAUUGUCGGUGAGGGUGUCUUUAACUUAUUAAAAUUGAUUGAAGUAAGAAGAAACAAUUACAUACACAUGAUAUAUAUAUUAACACUCCAUACUCCAUAACUUAUAUUAGAUGACUAAUGUUAUAAUAUUAAAAGUUAAUUAAAUAUAUCUGAUCUAUAAAGUCUAAUAAUUUAAAUUAUAUUCAAUGAAUAAGAUUUUAAAAUUUCUAUUAAAGAGUUUUAAAUAUGUGGUGUAUAUAUGUACACAUAUACAUCUGGUAUAGAGAAUGAGUAAUAGGGUCACUCAUAAUUCCAAGAGAGAUGAUGAAUCUUUGUAUGCAUUUAGUGUAUACUAAUACUCCAUACACCGCACAGUAUAUUAAACGAUUGAUAAAUUAUCUGAUAAUUAGUAAUAUAAAAUAAAAUAUAUAAUAUAAAUUAUUUAAAUAAUUUAUUGUACAACAUGAACUUAUUUUUAAUAUAUAAUUUAAAAUUGGUUUACGGUGAAAUAGGCGCGUUCAAAUUUUUUAUUGGAUAUUUGACGAGUUUCAAUUGAUUCUUAAACUUAAAUGACCACGUGGCAAGGUUAGGAUCUUUUUUUCUUUUUUUUUUUUUGAGAAAAAGCUACCUGCUUCAUUCAAUAAGAGAGAUGAACUAAACGUGAGGUGGAAGCAGCUAAGGCUUCCUAGGCAAAAAUCGGAAAGGAAGUAAAACAAGAAGAAAAGGACAAAGAAAGAAAAAGAUCAGAGGGUGAUAAAGUGGACAAAAAAAACGCAAGUUGAUGGGUUACAGGAGUGAGAUCCAAGAGUUAGACAGGGUUAAAACUCUGUCCAAGGCUCUGACGACGUCGGGAAGAUUCGAAGAGAAGACAAAACUAUUUCGCUCGAUCCAGACAACCCACCAAGUAGCCGCUAGCUUGGUUAAACUUUUAGCUCUUAUAGUGGCAUCGAGGAUUUGAGAUAAUAAGUUCCAAAGAUCUCGGACGUCUUCGCCCGAAGCGUUGUUGGGUAUCUCAGCCAGUCGAAGAAGAAGAAAUAGGGCGAAAACGCAAUUGCAGAAAAAGUGGUCACAACUUUCCAAGGAAAGUGCACAGAAGAUGCAAUGAGGUUCCACUUGAAUCCCUCGAUUGGUCAGUCUGUCGGCCGUGAGCAACCUCUUGCGGAGUAGCAACCAGACGAAGAUUUUGAUUUUGACAAGAAACUUUAAUUUCCAUGUAGUUGAUUGGUCGGGUCAGUUCGUCCUGCAUAAGUGAUGAAUUUAUAAAGGGAGUUGACAGUAAACUUUUGGUGUGAGGUCCACCUCCAUUUGAGCAAAUCAGGUUCGGUGGGUUGUAAUGGAGUAGCCGGUCCUUUAUCAGCCCUGUAGAACGCAGCGGAAGUUUUCGAUUCGUACCUUUUUGUGGAAGCGAUUCGAGCCGGAUCGGAUUGAUUGAUUCACGUGUCCUCGGAUCGUCCUUGAAUGUCUUCUUACGCUCCAAACUCGCGGUGAAUCGAACUACAAACGAGCGCGAUCGCAAAUCCACCGUGCAAGUCUCUAUAGAAUAAUAGGUCAAUGGAGGAUGUGGUUUCUCUCUAUUAUUUUCUUAUUCUCUCUCUUUUUCCAUUCUUUCCGUAUAUUUCGUUAUAUGGGAUCGCCCGCAUAUUUAUAAGGAAUUUCAAAAUCCUAAUGGCGUUGGAGAUAAAGCCAAAUCGGUUAUUAAUUGUUAUCCUAAUAUGACUAGAAUUUAUCUCUAACUAACUUUCCAAUUUGAAAGCGAGAUUAAUUCCAAUCCAAUUAGAUAACAUAACAACCGUCCGAUCGAACCCGCUUAUGGGCGUACCCGAUUCGAUUUAACCGAAUGCCAACAUCUCCCACUCGCACAUGACGGGAUCGAUGCCAUCGUAACCACUUCCUCAACAUCACACCACUAUUAAUUCUAUUCAUACAGGAAAAUGAACAGUGCGACCGCCGAGUCAACCUGCAUUUUGGGAGCUCUAUACUAGAAACCGCAUCCGGCCAGCAUAGAGACAUCAACCCUCAAAAAGAAAAAAAAUUAGACUCGUGAUACCCUAGACCAUUGAAUUACAUCAGGUUCAGCAUCUCUAAUCCCUCAAAGAGCCAUGCUAACCGCAAUUGCGCACAUUAUGACACUAUACUCAUGAUUGUUUCGCUAUACUGAAGCGAUACAACCUGUCGACAAUGAGUCAAAGUGUUUUAAUGUAAUUCAACUAGUCUUCCUUGAGCCCUCAUGCCACUGAGUUGAGAACUGAUUGCUUUCCCAGCAAUGCCCCGUAAAGCCGCAUCACUCAUAGCCGUAGGUAACAUGCCAAAGUAGCAACAUCAAUUCUUUCACUUAAUGACAUAGUCAAAAGUCACUAAGGGCAUCUAACAUAUAUGGGACAUCGUCUCAAAAUAAUGUCCGUAAGAACUCACACGAUGAGGAAGCAGGGAUCCAUUCACUCAUCUUCUUUAUUUAGUCGCCCAGCACAUGUAGUAUGAAAUACAUGCUAUGACAGAGAAUCCAAUAAGCGUAUGUCUUUCUCAAUGUCAUACGGAUCUUAGCUCAGUCACUCCCAGAGUGUCUAGCCUGAGUUCUCCAUUUGCUCGCUAUCUCAAGCGUCAAAUGGUGAGCUCACAUCCGGCUCUCAAUAUGCAGGCCAUACGAAUCAUGGGACUUUUCGUAUGCGGUCUCAUUAAUGACCUCAUCUUGGUGCCAACCAAGGCGGCUUCCAUUAAUGCCUCAAUUUUCGCUCGCUCUCUACAGCGCCGAAAAAAAUGAUUGCCCGUGUGAGAGGGCCAAUCAGCCUGUGACAUACUAUCAAUCAGUUUAAUAAUAAUGCACGUGUACUAAUUUUACCAAAUAUUUUUUUCAGAAUAAUAAUUUGUAAUUAAAUAACCAAGAAAUUACAAAAAAAAAUAAUCGACUGUCUACACAAUCAAAUCCUACGGAGUCCAAGAGCUUUAACAUGAGCCAAAAAAGAAUCUCUAACAAUAGGCUUAGUCAGAGGAUCUGCCACCAUGCGACUCGUAGAGAUGUGUUUCAGGAUUAUUUCUUUCUUCUGCGCCACUGCCUUCGAGUGGUCCAAUCCCAGAUUGGACGAAAAAUGGCUAACCAGGCCCACGGCAUAGCAUAUAUCAGGCCGAGUACACAUCAUAGCAUACAUCAGGCUCCCGACCGCAUUAGCAUAUGGAAUCCGAUUCAUCUUGUCCUUCUCUUCAGAAGUUUUAGGGCACUGUUUAAGGUUCAAACUCUCACCUUUAGCAAUAGGAGUGUCAAUGGGUUUGCAAUUUUGUAUCUGAAAUCGUUCUAAAACUUUUCUUAGGUAAGUCUCUUGAAACAGACCUAAAAGUUUCUUUGAACGAUCUCGUAGGAUCUUAACUCCGAGCACAUAAUUCGCUUCAUCCAUGUCCUUCAUUUCAAAAUUAGAGGACAGCCACGUCUGAGUGGCGACAAUCAUCUCCUUAUUAUUCCCGGCCAAUAGGAUGUCAUCAACAUAUAAGGAAAGGAUUAGAAAAAAUCCUUUGGACCAUUUAACAUACAUACAGUGAUCUUCUUCAAUCAUCGUAAAUCCAUCUUCAGUGAUGGCUCGAUGAAAUCGAAUAUACCACUGUCUGGAGGACUGCUUCAAUCCAUAAAUGGAUCGUCGGAGCUUACAAACUUUAUGCUCCUCACCGUUUACAGAGAAGCCAGCUGGCUAAUCCAUAUAGAUCUCCUCAUCCAGUUCCCAUUGAGAAAUGCAGUUUUAACGUCCAUUUGGUAAAGUUCCAAAUCCAAAAAUACGACAAUGGCCAAGAUCAGACGGAUCGAAGCAAACCUUACAACAGGAGAAAAAGUUUCUUCGUAAUCAACGCCUUCUCGUUGGGUAAAACCCUUUGCUACUAGGCGAGCCUUGUACCUAUCGAUAGAACCGUCUGCCUUGCGCUUAAUCUUGAGAACCCAUUUAUUCCCAAUUGUUUUGCGCCCUUGUGGCAAGUCAACCAAGUCCCAGACAUGAUUUGACUUCAUCGAUUCUAUUUCCCAUCCAUUCCUUAUGAGUAGGUAAUGAGAGAGCCUCUUGGAAGGAUCUAGGCUCAUCAUCAUCAUGUGCAGCAAGCAUGAAAGCUUCCCCCUCAAUCUCAAAACGACGACGGGGAAUGCCUACACGUGCGCUCCUACGAAGUUGAGGCUCCACAUCUAAAGGCAAGUCGCUCCCACUAUCCCCAGGAGGUAUCGGAGUCGCCUCUUCUGCCUCAACUGAGCGAAUAGAAGCGCCAAUGUCAGAGUCAUCCAUCUCAUGGAACUCAGUUUCAUUUCGAACCUCACUUCUAUAAGGAAAAUCCUCCUCGAGGAAUUCAACAUCUCGUGACUCAAUCUCAGUCAAACUUCCAUCAGGCUGCUUUCUGAUGAACACGUAUCUCUUAGAGUGUUCAGAGUAUCUUAUAAAUAUACACUUUCUCCCUCUAGGACCCAACUUUCUAUCCUUGUGAGAAGUAUUGUGUACAUAAGCUGCCGAACCCCAAGGACGCAGGAGCUCCAAAUUUGGUUUCCUGUCUGUCCAUAAUUCAUAAAGGGUGGAAGGUACUGUUUUGGAGGGUACACGAUUAAGAAUGUAGGCAGCAGUUAACAAUGCGUCUCCCCAAAAGGAGACAGGCAAAUUUGCUUGCGCCAUCAUUGACCUAACCAUGUCAAGCAAGGUGCGAUUUCUUCUCUCCGUUACACCAUUUUGCUGUGGAGUGCCAGGAAUUGUCAGCUGUCUGAUUAUUCCCUUUUCAUCACACAAUUUCUUAAAUUGUUCAGAUAGAUACUCGCGGCCUCGAUCAGUUCUUAAGAAUUUAAUUUUCAUAUCUAACUGAUUCUCAACCUUAUUAAUAUAACGUCUAAAACAAUCCAAUGCUUCAGACUUAUGGGAGAUCAGAUAAACAUGACCGAAGCGCGUAUGGUCAUCUAUAAAUGUGAUGAAGUAAAAAGCACCAUGUCUUGCCCUCACACUCAUUGAGCCACAAAUGUCGGAAUGGAUUAAUUGUAAAGGAAAUUCUGCCCUUGAAGCUUUAUUAAAUGAUUUUCGGGUCGCUUUUCCCGCUAAACAAUGUUCACAAGUGGGUAGGUCGACUUUAGUGAGUGAGCUCAAUAACCCAUCUCUAACUAAUCUAGUCAUUCUAUCCUGCCCAAUAUGACCAAGACGUGCAUGCCAUUUAAUUGAAACAUUGUGAUCAUUCUCAACAGAAGAUAGCAGGAAAAAAGAAUCACUAUUAUUAAUAUUAUAAUUAAUGUCCAAAACCAUAAAACCAUUCGACAUAAAACCUCUUCCAUAAUAAAUAGUUCCAAGAUGAAUCUUAACUACAUCACUCUCAAAACGAAAAGAAAAGCCUAACUGUAGCAUAGCAAGAAUAGAAAACAAGUUCCGCCGAAUUCCUGGAGCAUAAAGUACAUCAUGUAGAUAUAAAGUUCGACCACCUUGCAUGAUCAACUUGUAUGUGCCAACGCCUAACACAUCGACACUUGAAUCAUUCCCCAUGUAUACUCUUCUGCUCCCAGCAGGCACGUGACGGUACUCGACGAAUCCCAUCCGAUCCCUCGCUACGUGGUCUGUUGCUCCUGAGUCUACAAUCCACACAGGGAGAGAUUCAGCAACAAACGUGUUAGAAGAAACAAAAGAGCGAGAAUCGGGAUAGUGUUGUACCUUCUUCGGCUCAGUGCAAUCACGAGCGAAGUGUCCUAGCUGAUUACAGUUGAAACAAGUCAUCUUUGACUUGUCUUUCUUGCCACCUCGUUUGCUUCUUUUUCUUUUAGUGUUCUUCGCAUUCAUAGGCGCGGAUCCGCUACGAUUUUGAGCCCCAGUAGUCCUCUUUCGCUUCAACCCAGAUGUCCUGCGAAAGUUUGACUCAACAGCAUUGGCAGUUGGAGUUUUAACAGCCUCAAGGCGCUCCUCCUCCAACUCCAAAUGCCGCGCAACAUCCUCAAAAGUUUUGAUAUUAUCGUUAUAGGUCAAAUUUACUCGCAUAUGUUCCCACGAAUUGGGAAGAGAGCGAAUCGUAGCUUGGAUUUGCUGCUCAUUAGUCAAGGUGCCGCCAGCCGACUUUAACUCGCGAAUCAUGUUUGACAUAGUUCUAACGUGUUGCUUCAUAGUCUGAUCGGCACGCUUCUUAUAACUGUCAAACCUCAUAGUCAGACUGCGCAACCUUGUAGCCGAAGUUGCACCAAAUUUUGCUUUGAGAGCCUCCCACAUGUCAUACGCAGUCGGAUACUGCUCACACUCGCACAAGAGAUCAUUCUGCAUACUGCUCAGCAACAUAAUGCGAGCAAUGCGAUCCUUCUUAAGCCAAUUAUUAUAGGCUUCCAUAUCUCGGCGAGCCUGGGCACUAGUGCCCUCUGUAGGUUGGUCCAUUUUAUUGCUCAGGUUUUCCAGGACUUCUUGCUCAGCGAGAACAUAUUGAAUUUUAUGGUGCCAAAUAUCAUAAUUGUCACCAUUAAAUUUCUCGCCCUUGUUUAAAUCAGCAACAAUUUGUUUGGAAGCCAUUCAAUCUUACUUUGCAAUGCACAGAAAGUAUAUUUUAAAAUUAGUACACCAUACAUGCAUUCAAUUUUGUCGCAUCUCUAAUUAAAUAAAUUAAAAAAUUAGAUCAUACAUGCAUAAAGAAAAAUUUCGCUAUGCUCAUAAUCACAUCACACACCAUAUGUCAUAAUUUUUAAUUUAUUUAAAUAAGAUGCACAAAAAAUUUGGGAGUAAAAUCAUAUAAUUUACUCUACAAAAAAAAAAGAUUCCCACUUGACAAGGCAUGCAUAUUAUGCCUAAACAUUUUAUCUAUACAUCAUAACAGGCAUUAUAAUAUCAAAUAAAAAUUGCAUCCAUUAUAAAAGGCAAUAUAAAAUUCAUCAUAAAAAAAAAAUCAUGCAUUAUCUAUAUCAUAAAAGCAUAUAGAAUCACGAAAGCAUAUUAAUCAUCAAAUACACCCCCUUUUUUUUUAUUAAAAAUAUAUUUUUAAAAAAUUGGGGCAGAAACGAAAAAAAAAGGAAAAAAAAAAAUCAGCAGGCCCGCAGGCCCGCUCGCGGUCCGGCCCAAGUAAGGCCUGCGCGCAGCCCUCGCGCGCGGCCAGCAAUUGGCCCGCGCGCGGCCCGCGGCCUGUGUGGCCCGGGCGGCCCGCGUGGGCUGCGCGGCCCGCGCGCCGCCCGCGGUCGGCGCUGCCCUCGUGGGCUGCGCAGACCGCGCGAGGCUCACGGCCUGUGUGGGCUACGCGGGGCUGCGCGGCCCGCGUCCUGCAUGGCCCGUGAGGCGCGUGGCCCGCACGGCCGGCGGCGUGCGUGCGGUCAGCGUGGGCUGCGCGGCCCGCGCCUUGCGCGGCUCGCGUGGGCUGCGCGGUCCAGGUGCGGCCUGCGGCCUGCACGGCCCGCGUGGGCUGCAUAGUGGGCGGCCUGCGCGGCAUGCGCGGCCCGCAUGGGCUGCGCGGCCCCCGCACGGCCCGCGGCCUGCGCGCGGUCUGCGUGCGCACCCAGGCGGCUCCAAGCAGCGUGAUCUUCCGUACAGGAAUUUUUUUUUAAAAAAAAAAAAACUUCAAAAAAAAUAUAACAAGAGAUAUAGAACGCCGAUUCAUGCAAGAAACAUAUCAAUGGAAACCUUGCGAGGAGCCCUUCCACAUCAUGCAAGAUUCGCAAUAAGAUAUCCAUCACACAUCACACAAGACACCUCAAAAAAAUCGAUUUAGGGUUUCAUUUUUCUUAUAAAACACAAAACCAUAUUAAAUCAAGCUUUGUAAAUUUAAUCUUUCAACAUAGGUGUUUUAAGAUGUGUGAAAAUCAAACAAAGAUAUCAUCCUUUAAAAAAAAGCCAUUAACGUCCACAUGCAUACAAGAAAAAAUCUAAAACAAUUAUAGAUUUAAUUUAACGCAUGUAAUCUCGUUAAAGGAUGUAUCAAGACCACGAAAUCAAUCAAAAAAGUCUCUGAUACCAAUGUAGAACGCAGCGAAAGUUUUCGAUUCGUACCUUUUUGCGGAAGCGAUUCGAGCCGGAUCGGAUUGAUUGAUUCACGUGUCCUCGGAUCGUCCUUGAAUGUCUUCUGACGCUCCAAACUCGCGGUGGAUCGAACUACAAACGAGCGCGAUCGCAAAUCCACCGUGCAAGUCCCUAUAGAAUAAUAGGUCAAUGGAGGAUGUGGUUUCUCUCUAUUAUUUUCUUAUUCUCCCUCUUUUUCCGUUCUUUCCGUAUUUUCCGUUAUGUGGGAUCGCCCGCAUAUUUAUAAGGAAUUCCAAAAUCUUAAUGGCGUUGGAGAUAAAGCCAAAUCGGUUAUUAAUUGUUAUCCUAAUAUGACUAGGAUUUAUCUCUAACUAACUUUCCAAUUUGAAAGCGAGAUUAAUUCCAAUCCAAUUAGAUAACAUAACCGUCGGAUCGAACCCGCUUAUGGGCGUACCCGAUUCGAUUUAACCAAAUGCCAACAAGCACCAACUGUCUUCUAUUUCUUGAGGAGGCAGAAGCAACGUAACCUCUACAAAUGAAGCGCCAUCUCCAUUCAUGUGAAUUCCAGCAUUAGGAAACAUGAACAUCUUUGUUCCUGAUAGAUGAGAAUAUUGCUGGGAACACAGUGCUCAGCGGUGUUUCCCCAAUCCAGAUGUCCGCCCAGAGCCUGAUGUUGCUUCCAUCACCAAUUUCAUAGGAAAUGCCGCAUUUAAACACAUCGCGACACUGGACCACUCUUUUCCACCAUUGCGAGUAGGGAACAAAGGCAGUACCCUCGUGCAAGCGUCUCCUUCUCUUGUAUUAUAGAUAUCUAAUUAGCUUACACCAAGGCAGAUGUGGCUCAAUGAAGAAGCGCCAUCACCAUUUGGUUACGAGCGCGAUGUUCAUUGCGUCCACUUCUUUUAUCCCCAGUCCACCUUCGUUCUUGCUUUUACAAAUCGUUUUUCAGUUGACAAGGCUUGCUUCCCCAGUGAUUUUGGAGCAUCCUUUUCAGAAGAAGGCUCUACGUAGGGCUUCAAUUCUGAAUAGCACCCAUCGAGGCACUUUGAAGAUUGAUAGGUAGAAAAGCGGUAAGUUGGUUAGUACCGAGUUGAUGAGAAUAAGUCUACCCCUUUGCGAUAGUAGUUUAGCUUUUCACCAUUCGAUUCGCGAGCCUAUGCGAUUGAUGACGACUGUCAAAUCUUCCUUGCGAAGGGGCUUAUUGUGGAGAGGCAGCCCCAGGUAACGGAAAGGUAGGUUGCCUACUUGACAACCUAAGAUGUUAGCUAGUCUGUCGUGCUUGGUUGGGUUGGUACCUAGGUAAAAUAAUUCCGUUUUAUUUUUGUUGAUCCGUAAACUAGAGGCCCACUCAAAGAUUUUCCAAAUGAAUAGAAGGUUUCGCAUGUUGCGUGUUCGUGGCUCACAAAAAAGAUUGUGUCGUCCGCAUAUUGAAGGAGUGUUGUUUGGCAGUCUUCUCCUGGACCGAUUCUGUCCAACAUAUCCCUAGCAGCUUCGGUUAGUCUGGCCAGGCAGUCGGUCACGAGUAAGAAGAGAUAAGGAGAUAGAGGAUCGCUUGUCUCAGGCCUUUCCUUGUUUUAAGCCACUUUGUCAGGCUGUCAUUCAUGAGGAUGGUUACCUUUGCAUUGCAAAUGCAUUAUUCGAUCCAAGCCCACAAUUUGUCACUGAAGCCAAGCCACUGCAGGAUCCUUUGUAGAAAGGUCCAUUUGACAUUAUCAAAUGCUUUUUCAAAGUUUACCUUAAUGCUUACACAUUCCGUACUUGAUUUAGUGCACCAGUUGAUUAGUUCACUGGCGGUGACAAAGGAGUCUGCGAGCUGUCGGUUUUUGAUGAAGGCUGAUUGCGAAGAGAAGAUAAUAGUCGGUAGAGCACCUGAGAAUCGGUUGGCCAGGACCUUAGAGAUGAUUUUCUGAAUUCCAUUAAUGAGGCUUAUUGGGCGGAAGUCGUUAACCUUACAUGCUCCUCCUUUUUUAGGGAUAAGGCAUACUUAGGAGUAGUCAAUCGGGCCGGAAAAAAGUUUGUCUUCCUGGAGGUCUAGGAAGACAUUAAAUAUGUCCUCCUUGACGGUCUCCCAGAAGGAUUGGAAAAAGAUAAAGGGGAAGCUAUCUGGCCCCGGGGUUUUGUCGCUACCAAGUUGGAAGGUUGCAUUCUUGACUUCAUCUAGAGUGAACGGGCUAGUAAGUGCAUCCGGGUUGAGCAGUCUGUUAGAGUGAUAUAGUCCGCUCCAUUCUCCAUGAGACGUUCGUGGCUCCUUUGCACGACCAAAAAGAUGUUUGAAAGUAUAGGAGAAGUGGGCUCGUUUGUUUUGUUCGUUGUAGAUUUGCCGUCCUGAUUCGUCUUCAAUAACUUCGAUUGCGUUGAUGCGUUUUCUCCCAUUGGCUACUGCGUGAAAGAACUUAGUGUUACUAUUGCCUUCCUUGAGCCAAAAUUGUUUAGACCUAAUUUUUCAUAAGAUUUCUUCCUCCUAGAGAAUGAUCUGGAGCUGGGCUUUUAUGGCAGCCGGUCUAUCCAGGGAGUCUUGUGAUAGGGCGAAAUGUUCUUCCAGAAGAUCAAUGUUAUGAAGUUCUUCCUGCAGGAGCCUCUUGGUUGAUGAAAUGCUAUAGAAAUUCAUCUUGCGCCAUUCCUUAAUUUUGAUUCUACAAUGCUUGAGCUUAGCCGUUAGGGUGAGGAUAGCCGAUGUUUUGGGGGUGACUUCAUUCCACCAAUGCGGUACGUUAGAGAUGAAGUCCUCCUUAGUAAGCUAGACGUGCUCGAAUCUAAACCUCCGUGUCGGUGGGUGGAUCCCGGUAGAUAGGACGAUAGGUGUAUGGUCAGAAGUGAUUCGAGGGAGGGCUUUGACCUUUUGCUUAGAGGAUAGGUUUGGUCCCAAGAUGUGACCCAACUGUCAAUUAAUGUAUACUCGCAUGCGAUAUAGUAGAAAAUAUGUAAGGCCUAAUUUAUAUAAGUGCAGCAUAAAGUUAUUAAUUUCAAUAAAUAUUCAAUUUAAUAAAAUAUAUUAAAUCAAAAUAAUUAAUAAUUACAUAAAGUUAAUAAAACAUAAAAAAAAUGACGGUUUCUAAUUGAAAUUGACAUAUGUUGAGAGGGCAUGCGCGCGUGCAUCUCAAAUUCUCAAUUGAUGUAUAAAAAUAUUUGUGAGAAAAGAAUAAACUGCAAUUAAUUUAACUAACAAUUAUUGCAACUUCUCAUUGUAUUCCUAAAAAUGUCAACUGCCAUGGUGCAGCUAUUUGCUGUUACUACCAAAUAAAUAUUAAACACAGAAGCAAAACUCUUAUUAAUAUGGCAAGUUGUAUCUCCUCUUGACCACGCUAAUAGAUGCCUCCUAUGUUUGCUUCAUGUAGAAGCAGCAAUGCACCCAAGGGUGGACUUUACCGCGCCAGUCUUAUAACAAUUUUAGAUCAGCUUAAUUUGUCUCACAAUUUUAUUCUUUUAAUAUUAAAAAUUUUUAAAAAAAAAUUAUUUCAAUCCUUGGAUAAGUGGGUUGUAAUUAAAAUUUUCACCCCCUCUUUUGGAUGCACAGAUAGUUUGAUAUAUACUUCGAAAAAGGGUGUAUGAUUUAUUACACCCAUGCCAAUCAUUAAAAUUUUCGCUUAAGAUUAACAAAAUUUUAUAUAUUUUUAAUAUAUAUAUUUUUUAAAAAAAUUGACAAGACAAAAGGGUUUGGAUUACGACGUGUAUAAUAUUAUACACUCUUUUUUGAGAUAUACAAAUUGCAUUGCUUAAAUUUUUUUGCUUCAGACUUUUAGUAAAAUAAAAGAAAAAUUAAAUAAAAUAAAGAGUAGUUAUACUAUUUAUACACUCUAUUUCAAUUUGAUGGAUGGUAUUAAUUUACGUGACAAGUAGAAAAAUUUCAUCCGUUAGAUGAAUGUGUGUAAAUGAUAGUGUUCAGGUAGGCUUUUUUAUUAUAAAAUAAUUAGCGAAUCCUGUUUAGGCCAUAGGAGGAAAGCCUAUAUUUUAUUAUUAUUAUGUAUGAUAGGCCAGCAGGUAGCAUUUACGCAAAUUGUUCAUAAACAUAAGUUGGCGCUGUUGGUGAAGUCGUCCCCGGCCCAUACGGGUUUGGAGCCAUUGAUUCACAGCCGGCGGCUAGCUCUCUUUUCCGAGCUUGGCACGAGAAUAUGGCGGGACUAGAAUCGAUCGGAUUUACAGCACUGGGAUGGGUGGCAUCUCACCUCGCGGCGAAGCUGCUCAACGAAGCCUUCGCCUGCUUAGGCAUCAAGGCGAAGAAAAAGCUGGGAGACGAAGAAAAAGCUGGGAGAGAUGAAGCAAACUAAUCGGGUACGUUUUUCUCUCCGUUGACUAUUUGUUAUUGGGUUAAAAUAGGUUCAAUUUUCUGUCUCGUGACAAAAGACUUAGAGGCUAAUAAAUUGAGUGACGGUGUGAUCUACAAGAGACCUAACGGCAAGAGGCCCAACAAUAGACCCAACGUCCAUAUGGGUUGAGUCAGAUCGAAGUCCGCGAGUGCUGUGGCUGAGUCCUUAAGUGCGAUGAGUGCGUCUUUCCUAUAAGUAUGUGUUUUUGAUCCACAAGUGGUAUCAGAGCCAGUGUAUUAAUGGUGCAGGUGUUGUGAGGGGGGAUUGUUGGCUAUUUAUUAUUGGACUAAAAUAGGUCCAACUUUCUACUCCGUGACAAUAGGCUCAGGAGACUAACAAGUUGAAUUGGGUGAGCCUAAUAAGUUGAGUAGCAGUGUGGUCCACAAGAGACCUAACGGUAAGAGGCCCAACAAUAGACUCAACGUCCAAGUAGGUUUGAGUUAAGUCGAAGCCCACGAGCGCUGUGACUGAGCCCUUAAGUGCGAUGAGUGCGUCCUUCCUAUCAGCAUAUGUUUUUGUAAUAGUUGGUUAGUGUUUACGAUCCACAAGUGGUAUCAAAGCAAGUAGUGCAGGUUCGAUUUCCACGUGCUGCAUUAAUGGUGUAAGUGUUAUAGGGAAGGAGGGGGAAUUGUUAGCUAUUAUUGGGCUAAAAUAAAUCUAACUUCCUAUCUCGUGACAAUACGCCCAGGAGAUUGAUAGGUUUAGUGACGGGAUGAUCCAUAAGAGAUUUAAUGAUAAGAGACCCAAUAAUAAACCCAAUAUUCAGGUAGAUUAAGUCAAGUCGAAAUCCGCGAGCGCUGUGGCUGAGCCCUUAAAUACGGUGAAUGCAACCUUUCUAUUAGCAUGUGUUUACUUCGGAAAUGGAUUAUGCGUGUCUUAAAAGGUAGUCGGGAGCUGUCACCUCAAAAUAGCAAGAAGAAGAAGAAGAAGAAUAUGGGGAUGUUCCAGCGGAAGCGCAGGCCAAACAAGAUGUGGACUGUUAAUUAGUGUUGUCAAAAAAUUGGUUUGGCCAGUCAAAAGAAAAGGCAAAACAAAAAAGACGAAAAAAAAAGAAAAAAACAAAAACAAAAAUAAAAACAAAAAAGGAAAAAAGAACAAACAAAGAAAAGGAUGUGCAUGGUGGUCAUAAAAGAUUGUUGGGUUAGUGAUAUCAAAUUCACUUAUUAGCCUAAUUGGUUUUAUUUUGGGUUUGGUUCAACAACUCAUGUAAUGGGCUAGUUAGUAUUUGGUUUGGGCUUUAGUUGACCCAUUUGGUAUGUUGGGCCAAGUGGAGUUAAGAGAGAACUCUUUGGGUUAGAGAGAGUGUGUUCUCAUUUUUGCUCUCUAGGUUUUCCCUUUUCUUGUAAUAGAGAAGAGAGGUGUAGAGAGGGUNAGUUCUCUUAGAAGAAAUCACGUUGAAUUUGAACAUUAGUUUCAGAGUAUCCUUAGGCCGUUACACGUAUUGUUUCACUACCGGAAUAGAAGUAGGUAGUAGAAGAGAGGCUAUGAGAGUUCGAGUGUUUAUUACAACAACUUAUGUAAGUUCACGAGCCUCUGGAACCACGGAAGAAAGUAAGAGUUUCUCAUGUUGGCAGAAAAGUUCUUUUAAGCCAACCAUUAACUGAACAAAACCAUGUUCGAGAGAUUGAAACGGGUAUUAGGUUUUCGGCAAAAGAGAGGUUAAUAUAACUUUUCUUGAAGUAGGCGGUUCGUGUACGCUUACCACCGAUUUCGAAAGUACAGGUAGAGGAGGGUAAGUAGUAGCCGGUAGGUAAGGCCAAAGAAUAGAGAGGGUUCAUCUCGGAACAUAACAGGUACAACAUGGUUAUUUAGUACUUGAAAAUUGAAGGUUUCAAGUUUCAAAGAGAAAGGUAGUUUAAACGGGUGAAGGUUAGUUAAACAACGGUAACUCUGUUAAAUAGCUUGUGGAACGUGAGUUGGAACUUCGAGACUAUGGUUAACAUCACUCGAUUACUGCCUUGGGAGUGAUAGUUCUAUGAUUAGUGUGAUCAUUCGUUUACACUACAUAGAUUUAAUAGGUGUUGGUUCUAUACGUUUUAACCUCAUUUACUUCAACUUUCUCUUUUUAGGUUCGUGUUCGUGUUGUUGUUGUGUUCUAAAUGCACCAAGUGGGUUUGGCCCGAUGUAGGUGCCCGUGUCUCUCUAGUUUAGGUGAUAGUUUACUCCUCUAAUGUUCUAAACCAAUCUCUAAUGGUGAGAUAGUGUUACCCGAAUGUUGGAAGGUUAUCUUUAGGGAAGAACGAUGUGGAAGAAACUUCGUGGAAGACUAAGGCGCUUAGGGCGAAGCCUUAUGGAGAAUCUUAAGGAGGUUAGAUGGAACCUUCAGAAACUUAGUUCGUUCUUCUUGUUCUCUCGAGGAAGAGGUUGGGAGAGAUGUGGAGAGAAGAGAUAAUGUUCUUUUUCUUGGACACCGUUUGUAGUGCAUUGUUGGCCGAUGAACUUCGAAAGAAGGUAACUUUGGGGAGUUCGGAGGGUGAAACGGAAGCACUUGUAGUAAGAGGUCGUUAUAAAGAACGUGAAAAUAUGUCAAAAAAUUUUUCAAGAAGCAAGUCAAAGAAUAGAUCAAAGUCUAGAAAUCGGAAUGACAAAAGGCUUUGUUGGUUUUGUGGCAAAUCCGGACAUAUGAAGAAAGAUUGUCUAAAAAGAAAAGGCUCAAAUGGUGGAAGGGACAAUGGUGAAUCAAGUAGUAGUAAACAAAACUCGGAAUCGAACAAUGAAGCACAUCAAGUUGAAGAAACAACAUCGGGUGUUAUUGAUGAUGAGGUCUUGAUGGCGGGUUCUAGUUCAGUAUUUCAUCAAAAUUGGAUUCUUGAUAGUGGCGCUACUCAUCAUAUGUGCCCACAUCGUUCAUGGUUCAUUACCUAUGAGGAAUGCGAUGGUGGUACCAUUUCGAUGGGAAACAACUCAACUAGUAGAACGGUGGGAGUUGGUUCGGUGCGCUUGAGAAUGUAUGAUGGAAUGGUUCGGGUAUUUGAAAAUGUGCAACAUGUUCCGGAUUUGAAGAAAGGUUUGAUCUCUCUCUCCGAAUUGGACAACAAAGGCUACAAAUUUACGGGGCAAGGUGGAGUUAUAAAAGUCUCCAAAGGUGCGUUGGUUGUCAUGAAAGGCAUUCGGGUUGGAAACUUGUACAAGCUAUUGGGUAGUACAAUGACGGAUGAAACUUAUGCGGCGACGGAAAAUGAUGACCUUCCUCUCCGACUAUGGCAUAGAAGGUUGGGUCAUAUGAGUGAGAAGGGAAUGAAGGUUUUAGUAGAGAAGAAACUUAUACCGGAUAUUACUUUUAGUGACUCGGAAUUUUGUGAGCAUUGUGUUUAUGGAAAACAUCAUAAGUGGAGCUUCAAAGCCGGGAGUCAUACAAGUAAAGGUAUUCUUGACUACAUUCAUACGGAUGUGUGGAGUUCUCCUACUACUUCAUAUGGUGGUGCCAAUUAUUAUAUAUCAUUUAUUGAUGACUUCUCACGGAAGGUUUGGGUGAAAUUUCUCAAGUCGAAAGGUGAGGCAUUUCAAGCAUUUAAGCACUUCAAGGCCGAAGUAGAGAAUCUCACCGGAUGCCGCAUUAAAGUUCUCCGAUCGGACAAUGGUUUGGAGUACAAAUCUAAAGAGUUUGAGCUCUUUUGUAAAGAGAAUGGCAUCUCAAGACACUAUACAAAUCCAUAUGAUCCACAACAAAAUGGGGUGGCCGAGAGGAUGAAUCGUACAUUGAUGGAGUGGGCUCGUAGCAUGUUGAGCAAUGCCGGUUUGGAGCACGAGUUAUGGGCCGAGGCCGUGUCCAUGGCAUGUUAUCUUGUCAACCGCUCACCUUCCAUGGCUAUAAAUGGAAAGACACCGGAGGAGGUAUGGUUCGGAACUCCUUGUGAUUAUUCUAAUCUAAAAAUAUUUGGUUGUCAUGCUUAUGCAUUGGUUCCUAGUUGUCAAAGAACUAAGAUAGAUCCAAGAUAAAAAAAAUGCAUAUUUGUUGGUUAUACAAAAGGUGUGAAAGGAUACCGGUUAUGGGAUCCGGUGGCCCACAAAAUUAUCACAAGUUGUGAUGUUCAUUUUGAUGAAUCAAAUGUGUUGAAAAAGGGUGUAGAACAUGAAAGCAUCGAGGAGGAAGAAAUUCGGAAUGAUACUCAAAAUUUUGAGCUACCAUCUUCAACUUUCUCACCAAAUGAAGACAUUGAAUCGGCGGAUACACCGGUUGAAUAUGGUGAGGUCGAUGAUCAAAUCCAUGAAAAUUCUAAUGAAGGGGAAAGUUCUCAUGAAGGUGGAGAAAUAGAUGACUGGUCUCGACGUUCUACAAGAGAGCGGCACACACCUUUGCAUUUGAAAGAUUUUGUAAAUCCAAGUACAUUUCGGGCACUAAUUGUGGAACAAGAAGAGCCGUGUACAUUUCUAGAGGCCAUAAAUUCUAGUGAUGCAAAGCGCAAGUGCGGCUUAGGUGCUGCGGCAAGUACUUCUCGUAGUACUAAUACCACUAGGAAGCGAAACCUCAUAGCAUCUUUUGGUCCCUUUUCUUGAGGUUCGUUUCGCCUCUAGUUUAGCUGUAUAACUCUUACGCUUUGCUAUAGAGCUAAACUAGAUUUCUCCGAUUAAACAUCUUUUAUCCAAAUCUUACUUUAGGCUCGGAGAUCCCAAAGAGUUUGUACAUAAGAAUACUACGAACUAGUUAAUCUCUUGGGGAUAUCGAAUAAAUAUCUGAAAUCUUAGUUAACCUCAGCUUAAUCUUUCAAAGAAAGGUUUUUGUCGUGGAACAUGGCCUUGUUCCUUACAACAGGUCCCAUGUGGUACUGCCUUCUAAAAAGACGCUUCGACGACAUGGGACCUGUCCGACAAUGAACAAGGCCUUGUCCCGAACAUGGCCAUGUCGUACUUCGAACAUGGCCUUGUUGGUAGUUCGAAGGACGCGUUUACAACUACCGACAUGGGACCUGUCUUUACGGAACAUGGCCAUGUCGUUACGUUAAAAGCGACUUUUACGUAACAAAACCUAAAAUGUUUGAGAAUCUUUGAAAGAUUAGUUUGUGUUGAACUUUUGUACUAAGAUUCUAGAUAUUAAUUCAUACUUAGUGGUAUUUGUUCUAAAUUUGAAUGGAUGCGUAGCACUAAGUUCAAAACGCACAAAAGGCUAAGAAACUUUAGAACCUAAGAAGCUAGAAGUUAUGAGGCUAGACUUGAAGAAGUUCUGAGGUUGAGCUGGGUGCUUUGAACGGUUGUGUAUCCUGGAUUGUAGUUGUGGGAGUGGAACGGUAGAAGUUACUGUAGGGCCUACAUUACUAUAACGUGUAGUUAUACAAAUCAGGAAAAUACUAUUUGGCCUAAAAAUCGGUUUGUAUAACGUGAGUAUGAUAGUGUAUUAUUUGUGUACCCAAAUUUUAAGUAUGGUUCGAGAAAGUAGUUUGGAACUUCGGUGUGGCGGAGGAACCAACGGAGCCAUUCACGGUACAUGAGCCGGAGGCACCAACUGUUUCGGUGGCAAUGAACUUCGAACCUGUAGGUUGAUUAACCUGGUAAAGAUACAAGUUUAUGUUUCGGGCAACAUCUAGAAGAGAACAGUUCUAGUGGCCGUUUUAAUCGUAGUUGUAUUGGAACGUAACCGGAACUCAAAAACGGUAUGUACUAACGUAUUAGUGAACAUGGAGAGUUUAUGGCUUUUUGGGUAAAGCGGCGAAGGGUUACGUGGAAAAGCCCUAAACGGUAUUUGGCUGAUUCUUGUGGUUGCCGUAUACGUUACAGGCCCGCACAUGUGUGGUACCGUUUGUAGUUCGAUGGAUGUUGUGAACUUAUCCCUUCAGCUAAGUAGUUGAAAAAAAGGAGGAGGCAGAAACCUGAAACGAGCCUUCUAUUAAAUUUCACUCUGCGUUUACCACAGAAAUGGCGGAAACGAAAUGAGUACGGUUUGAACAUAUAGUUAAAAAGAUGUUUAGGGAAAACACUUACACUGUUACACGGUAAAACAGAUAGGGCGGUUUAGAGGUACGGUUCUUAAACUGCACGGCCAGGUUCUAGAAAAUGAAGUUUCCGAAAUGAGUUAAGUAGGAACUCAAAAAUCAAACAGGAACGUAUGAUAUUCGUACAGUAGGUGUAUGUUGUGGUUUCGGUGUUUCCAUAGUAGAAACUUCGUAAAAUUCAUCUGUGUUACCAGUAUGAAUGAAGAAACCUUAGGUGCUGAAUCGUAUUUUCACAGUUUGAAAGCUAUGGUAACAGAACUACGAACAAACUCAGGUAUGUUAUUAAAAAACUCGAAUGUAUGUUCUACAAGAAAUAGGAAGAGAUACUUCGGAACUCCAACUAUGUAUAUUUGGAGAAGAAGAUUUAGAGGUACGUUUUUACGGCAAAAUUGUAGAUUAACGAGUUCAAGGUUUAGUAAGUAUCGUUGUUCUGAUUCUUGUUCGGCUUAUCUUUGGUUAAAUUGUUGUCCUCGUUUAUGAAGUUUCUUUAGGUAUGGAAGGGAAACACGCUUCGGAAAUCGUUGGUUAGAACGAGAUAUGGAAACUUAACAGGGUAGCCAAGGAGAAAACUAAAACAUGUGGGUGAACGUUGGUUAACGAAAAGCCGAGAAACCAUUGAGGUGGUUUAAGGUUCGAAGUAAGAACACUUCACGGUGUUAAAGAAGGAGGUAACGAAGAAAGGUUANUGGAAGGUUGUAAGUCCAUUGUGAUAGAGUGGUAAUCUCUAACCAAAUCUUGUAAUCUCCUCAUUUGAUAGUGGAUUUGAUCUCUCCGUGUCCGUGGAUGUAGCCCGGUUUGGGUGAACCACGUAAAUCUUGUGUUGUUGUUGUGCUUGUGCUUGGAUUUUUCUCUUUCAACUUCAUUUACUCCAAUCUUGCAUAUCUUGGUUGUGGAUAAUUUAGAUAAAUCACAUUUGCUUACUAGUGUGAUUAGUAUCUUGAUAGUGAGGGUUCCGUCAUUAGCUCACUACAAAGUGUAUUAUGUUUUUAUUUUUUUUCUUUCUCUUAAUGUAUCAUUAUGUUUUGUAGGGGGCCUGAAAUUUCUGUCAUGCUUGUAUGUAAAUUUUAGUGUUUUAAUUUUGUCCUUGUAGUACCUCUUACCCAUGUGGUUAAUGUACAGAGAAUACUAUACUAUAUUUUUUUUUGAGAAAAAUACUAUACCAUAUUUAUGUUGUUAUUGCUAAUUUUUCACAUUUUUACAGUAUUAUUGUGCAACAAAUUAAGGAAACCUUGAACAAGGCAUGCAGAUGCUAGCUGCACCAAAUGUCGAGUGCGAACAAACAGAUUUAAAAAUAUAUCUUGAGUAUUGCUGCAGAUACUACUUUUAAAGAUCUUUUAAAAGAAAAACAACUAAUGUAAGCGCAAUCCAGCAGUGGGACACGCAAAUUGUAUAUUUAUAGACUAAUGUACCAGCAUGCUGUACAUGUGUCUCAUACAAAUUAAUUUGUAUAAUACAAACUAACGAAGUGUUACUCUGUACUAGUGAAGGGAUAUUGUACAGAAAUGUUACAGCAGUAAAAUUUAAUUAGCUUUUAUAUUUUUUGUAAAAUUUUAUUGGCUGCCAUUAAUUUGAUAAUUAAAAUUGGUAUAUGUGACAUGUCAGAAUUUUGCAGAAGCUAAUUAGUAAUUGAAGUAAGUUUAUAGCUCAUCAUAUAUACGACUAUUAAUUCAUCAGAAAUUAUUCAGCAAUUAAAAUAAUUCUUAAGUAAAUUAAGGUCCCGUUUGGCCUAAAUUCUAAGAAAAUGAUUUCAGCGGAUCUUUUUUUGGUUUGGAGAAAUUAAUUUUGGUUAAAAAUUGUAUAGCGUUUUGCUGAACUUAGAUGAAAAGCGACGUUAUUUAAAUGAUUUUGGCAGAGAAAUGGGAGGGUUAGGGAAGUUGAGUGGACUGACUUGAGUUGGAAUUUUUUUGUUCUAUUUUAUUAUACAAACCAGUCGGGCUCGAGACUAGCUCUUAAAAAUGGACUUUUUUUACAAAAUAACCAUUUAAAAUUUUAUAAUUUACGAAAUAACGCUAUCAAAUUUGUAUUUGGCAAAAUAACUCUCGAAACGCGGUGAAUCAUUCACUGCGCUCUGAAGUCUUUUAAAGACGGUGAAUCAUUAACCGUCUUCUUUAUAAUUUUUAAAAGACGGUGAAUGAUUCACCGUCUUCUUCAUAAUUUUUUAGAAAAGAGAAAAAAUAAGGUUGUUAAAAUUAUACAUAAAUUAUACAGAAAAUAAAAAAAUGAGGUUGUUAGGAUUGUGUGUGGAAUAUUAGAAUUUUUAUUUGAUUGUUAGAAUUAUAUGGAUAGAUUAUUAAAAAAAUUUUGAUUAUUAGGAUUAUAUUGAUAUAUUANGUGGAAUAUUAGAAUUUUUAUUUGAUUGUUAGAAUUAUAUGGAUAGAUUAUUAAAAAAAUUUUGAUUAUUAGGAUUAUAUUGAUAUAUUAUUAGAAUUUUUAAAUUGUUAAGAUUAUAUACGAUAUUUGAUUAUUACGAUUGUAUGGAUAGAUUAUUAAGAUCUUUUUAAUUGUUAGGAUUGUAUGGAUUUAUUAUUAGAAUUUUCAGGUUGUUAAGAUUAUAUGUAAUUUAUUGAAAUAUUUAUAUGAUUGUUAGGAUUAUAGAAAAACAUAAUAAACAAGUAAAAGGGGGUGAAUGCAUGAUUCACCGUUUUUCUGUAAAAUUAGAAAAGCGGUGAAGGCGGUGAAUCAUAUAUUCACCGUCUUUAAGAUAUUAGUUUUUUAAAUAUAAUUUUGGUAAGAUUAUUUUACAAGUAAUAAAAUUUUAAAAGGUUAUUUUAUAAAAAAAGUCUCUUAAAAAUCGGCCAGGCCCAAAUAUUUAGAUUAUAUAAUACCGAUAUAUUUCUGAUUUUUAAAAUAUUGAUUGUAAUAUUUAGCAAUUUGUUUCAACAUUUUGUUGUUGGAAAAGAGCAUCACUCAUAGGUGAAAAAUAUUACUUACUGGUUUAGGUCGAUCUUAGAAGAUGACAAAUAUUGUAUCAAAUUAAAAAUCAAUGUAUAAGUUUAUCUCAAACUCUAAUGAUUAAUAUAUGCUCACACCCACCUUUAUUACUUGUUCGUAUUUCAUGGAAUCUACUUCAGUUCAACUGUCCUUAUGAUUCUUAUCUCCUGCUAAUUUUUGUUUUGUCUCCACUAGAAGUGAUUAUUUGGUAUGUCUAAUACAAAAGUAAAUGCACAAACUCUCCUUGUUAUAUAUAUAUAUAUAUAUAACAAGAAAUUUCUGAAUUUCUAUUGAUAGAUAAAUUCAAUGAACCUACUCACUAUCUAUAAAUAGUUUGAACAUGAUCAGAUUCAACAACACUCUCUCUCUUUCUAUAUAUAUAUAUAUAGAGUCCGGUUACGGUGCUUAUAAAAGCACAAAGCAUUUGGUGCUUGUAAAUUUUCUACCAUUAGAUCUAUGCAUUUGAUCAUUUUCAUCCGUUAAAUUAUACUAUUCAACCAACCACCCACUCAACCCUAGGGGGUCCACAUCAUCCUAACCGCACAUUCCUUAAUCCAAAGGUCGAAAACCUAUAAGCAUCAAUGACUUGGUACUUUUAAAAGUAUAGGAGCUCAAUUAUAUAUAUAUAUAUAUAUAUAAAAGGGAUUUCUUCAGCUGUUAACUUAAUUUGGUUGGAUUUGAUCCCUUUAACCAAACACAUUUUGGGUCACUAACAAUCAGCAUGCAUCCCUUUAACCAAACACAUUUUGGGUCCCUUUAAUUUUUUUUUUUUUUUUUUUUUUUUUUUUUUUUUAUCAAGGGGCCCAGGUUGCCCCACCCUUGUAGCCUAGUUCAUUUUUCCAAUGAAUGAAGCGGGUAGCGUGCUAUCUUUUUCUCAAAAAAAAAAAACAAUCAGCAUGCAGCAGAUUGGGAGGUUGGAGUCUUAUAACUGCUAAUUAGUGGACUAGUAUGUGGUUGCAGAGAAGCAAAAGAAUCUUUCAGAACAGGAGGAAGGUCUUAGCCAAUUUAUGUUCGAUAUAAAAAGCCUUACGCGAGAUUACGCGAUUGCUUGAAGGACCUCUUUUUUCUUUUUUCUUUUUUUUUCAAGACUCAGAUGUCUUACUCCUAUAGCUUAAUUAGUUUAUUUUCUUUAUAAAUGAAACAAGUAGCAUUGCUAUCAUUUCCUUAAAAAAAGACGAAAAAAAGUAAUUCGCAGCAUAUUAAACCCAACAUGCUUCAGAAUAUUAUCCCAAGGAGUUGCUAUCUAGAGAAGGUAGUAUUUAUUGUCAACGUUUACUACAUCAAGUCAAUAAGAUAGAAAUAGAUUAUUAUUAUUGGCAUUAUUUGUCAACAUAUGCCAUUUCACAUUACCUAACUAUAAGGAAAGAUUACAUAUGUACACACAGAUAAGGAAGAGGGGCCCGUUGAGUCAAUUAUUGUUAUUACUGGGGUAAAUUGCACAUUUGAUCCUCGAACUAUGAGUCGGGUGAUACUUUGUUUUUCAAAUUUUUUAAUUUGUUAUAAUUUUCGAUUCGAACUUUCAAAAUUAUUACAAUCAAGUUUCACAACCUAAUUUAAUUGACUAUAUAUUUACAUAUUAUUAAUGUAGAAGUGAUGCAGCAGUAUUGCGAUUGGUGAUGCGCCAAUAACGACGAUGUUAUAUCACUUUUGCAUCAGCUUAAUUGCAAUUUACAUUUUUGGUCCUUAAAUUUAAAUUUAUUGUAAUUUAUGGCUGGAACUUUAAAAUUGUAAGAUUGUAUGCAAAUUAACAGAUGGAAUUGGGGUGCAGAUUUACACAUUGAACCUGGUACAAGAUACAAUUUGCUCGCAAAUAAUCAACUGUUGCUAAUGGUGAAAAUAUACGGAGACCCCUCUACUCUAGGCGAUUUUGGAACUAAUCCCACAACCAAUUUUUUUAUAUUUAGAUCUCUUAAUUUUUGAAGUUUAAAUAAAUUCAUAGUCAACUUAAACAUUAUCAAAUUUUACAACCUUAUUGGUCACAAAUUCUUAAUUGGUCUGGUUUAAUAAGCUAAAAGUGAUUGUAGUCAUUUUAUUUGAUGAAAUGACCAAAAAAAGGGACAAAAUUCACAAUUAUUUUUACUUGAUAAAACUGUGUAUUUAUUACCAAUUAAUAACUAAUGAAAUUCUCAUGCUCUAUAGGAAAGAAAAAAAUAUAAGGAUUAAUUCGUACAAGUGCAGGGUAAAGUCAUUAAUUUCAAUGAAUGUUCAAUUUAAUAAAUAUAAUAUAUGUUAAGUUAAAAUAGUUAAAAAUUAUAGAAAGUUAAUAAAAAAUUAAAAAUUGAGGGUUCUGAUUGAAACUCACAUAUAGUUUUUUUUUUUUUUUUUUUUUUUUUUUUUUUNUAGUUUGAUUGUAUGUGUAAAAUUAAUGAAUCUUAUUAGAAUAAUUACAUUGUUUUUUUUUUUUUGAGAAAUAGAAAUAGGUUGUAUGCUAUCCGCUUCGUUUAUUUUAUUUAGAAAUAAAUUUAGCUGGAAAUGUGAAUCAAUUAAGAUUCGAGCUUGAGAUCUCGGGUACCAACCACCAAAUUCUUUGCCACAUGCGUUAGGAACGGUCGAUGAAACGCACAUAUAGUUGAACGGGUAUUGGUGCAUCUCAAUUGAGGUAUAAAUAUCUCUUAGAAAAGGACAUACAGCAAUUAGUUGAACUAAUAAUAAUUGUAUCCUAAUUAGAAAUGUCAACGGCCCUGAUGCAGCUAUUUGCUGUUAUUAAUUACCAAAUGAACAUUAAGCACUGAAGCAAAACUCUUAUUGUUAUUAUUUUUUGGUAGUUGAAUAGAUUGUAAACAAUGGCAAGUUGUGCAUCUCUUCUCGACCAUGCCAAUGAUAGAUGCCUCACAUUUUCGUCUAAUGUAAGAACAAUUAAUGCAUCCGGUCACAAUUCUAUAUUUUUAAUACUUGAAAAUUUAAAAAAUUAUUUCAAUCCUUGAAUGGAUGAGCUGUAAUUAUUUAAAAUUUUCACAUUUUAUAAUAAUAUAUAUUUUUGUUAAAAAAAGUUGACAAUCUAAAAGACUUUGGAUUAAGAUGUGUAUAAUAUGCACCCUCUUUUGAGGUACAUAUAUAAAGAGCAUUGCUCCCAAAAAAGAAAAAAAAAAUCUGCAAAAUGAUUUUUGAAAAAAGAAAAUAUUAAUAAAAUAAGUGGGUGCUAUUUAGGCCGUGAAAAGAAAGUCUACAGGGGAAGGUGAGCCGUAGCAUUCUUCACAAAUUAUUAUUAUUAUUAUUAUUUUUGAAAAAUAGAUAGCAAGCUAUCUGCUUUAUUUAUUAGAAAAAUAAGCUAGACUUACAUAAUGAAGGCAGUCGGGCCCUCCGAAGAAAGAAAAAGAAGAAUAAAAAACAGAUGGUUAGAAAUAGGACGAGAAAACGGAAAAAAAAAAAGAAGAAAGAAAGAGAGGAACAAAACAAAAAAACUUUAUUAUUAUUAGUAUUAUUUUUUUAGAGAGAUAGAUAUAUAUAUAUUAUAUAUGUUAUUCAAUUCGUUUAUUUUAUUUAAAAAUAAAUUUAAUUAAAAAUAUAAAUUAAUUAAAAUUUGAAUUUAGGAUCUGAAUCUUUUGGGCUUCUGCGUCAGCGACAGUCGGUCAUUGGUCAAUAAUUAUUCGUAAACGAAAAUUGGCGCUGCUCCCGUACUUGUUUGGAGGCGGCAGCUAGCUAGGUGGCUGUCUGUUCUGAGCUUGCUGGCGCGAGAAUGGUGGCGGUAGAAUCGAUCGUAUUAGCAGCACUGGGAUGGGUGGCAUCUCCGCUGAUGACGAAGCUGCUCAACGAAGGCUUCGCGAGCGUAGGCGUCGACGCGGAGAGAAAGCUGGAAGAGAUGGAGAAAUACAUCGUCCCGGUGAUGAAAGCGGUGACCGAGGAAGCCGAAGGCAGCCCGCACCGGAGUGAGGUGGAGGGCUGGCUGCUGAGGAUGAAGGACGCAUACGAGGACGCGGAGGACGCGCUGGACCUCCUCCGCUACCACCGCCUCAGACGCGAGGCGGAGGCAGCAAGCAGUAGCACUAGGAGGCGAAUUUAUCAGCUACGCUCUUCUUUUCAAGAAUCAAGACGCAUGAGAUGGGUUGUGCCCGUCUUCGAAGGCGGUCGGGAUAUGCUGUCACCUCAAAAGAUCAAGCUGAAGCACAGGCUGAACAAGCUUGAGAAGAUCGCCAACCAAGUCGAGAAACUCCGCGCGCAGUUAGGCGCCCAGCCUGAUCGGACUGUGGCGCCUGACAGCAGGCGGACCAUCUCGUUGCCCCCGCAAAAAGUGUUCGGCCGCGACGAAGAUCGCAAAGAAAUCAUUCGGCUUUUGAAAAUAGAACCUGCAGCAGGCAUUCCUAUAAUUGCAAUAGUCGGUCGCCCGGGGGUUGGGAAGACUACUCUUGCACAGUACGUCUGCGAGCAGCUGAGGAGCGAAUUAGCAGGCGACGGCAGACAUUUCGAUCUCAUCGUGUGGGUCCACGCAUCUCGCAAUCUCGACACAUCUGAAAUUAUGAAAAAAAUCAUACAACAAGCUUCUACUGCGAGCGAGCCUCAAGAUCCCGUCAAUCCUGAUGAUGUGCCCGGAAUGAUCCACGCCUAUCUUCGCAAUCUCGACACUAUGGUCGUGGGCGACCUUGACUGGCCCGAAGAGCUACGACUGAAGAUGAGCACAAAGCUGAACUCGAAGAUGUUCCUGCUCGUGAUCGAUGAUGUUUGGUGCGACGGGGAAGACCACAAAAAUAAUUGGGAUGCACUAUUCAGAUGUUUAAGCAGAUGUUGUUGUUUGCUGGGGAGCAAGAUUUUAGUUACGUCUCAAACGGACGAUGCGCCGAGAAAGAUUGGUGCUGCCGGGGAAAACAUUUACCGUUUGGAGGAGUUAAGGGAGGAUGGCUUCUUGGAUCUUUUCAUUCACUACGCAUUGCCGAGCAGGGGAAUGGAUUCUUCCGUUCGAGAAGAUUUAGAAGAGAAAUGCAGGACGAUCGCUAAGAAGUUGAACAAGGACGCCACGGCGGCCGAGAUUGUUGGCGAGACGAUCGGUAUGAAGGCGGCCGAGCUCCUUCGUUCGCGGGAUUAUUUGCGUAAAUACUUGCGAACGAUUGCAGAGAAGGACUGGUCCGACAGCCAAACCAGAGCGCUGAUGUGGAGCUAUCAGCAUAUGCCAGCACAUCUUCAGCUUUGUUUCUCGUACUGCAGCCUGUAUCCUAAAGGCUACAAGUUCAAAGCUCUAGAGCUGGUUCAGCUCUGGAUGGCGCAAGGUUUUAUCAAGCCGGAUGAUCAGAAUGAGAGGAUGGAGGAUGUCGGCAACGAUUACCUUGAAAAGCUGGUGUCCCGGUUCUACAUUCAUCAGUCUCAUGACGGCUACUACACGUUGCACGAGUUACUCUACAGUCUAGCAACAAAGGUUUCCAGCGGCGUCUGUCUUCGAAUGGAAGGUAAGAAAGAAAAGAUCCCCUCAACUAUUCGCCAUCUGCGCAUACCGGCUGACAAACUGAACGAGAAUAAGGAGGAAAUCUGCAAACUGAAGAAACUGCGCACCCUAAUCGUCGCGAAAGGAGAAAGCGCCCCCUCAGAAGAAGAAAACAUUGCGACCGGCGUCUUCAACAGCUUACAAAAAUUGCGCGUGCUGGUUUUGGAGUUGAACCUAGAAAAUUUGGCAGAAUUUAUUGGUGAAAUGAAGCACCUUCGCGUCCUACAAGUUUCAGGUACUAGCGAGUUCGUGCUGCUGGAGUCGGUGAGCACUCUUUUUCAGCUAGAAGUGUUGGAAGUAGAAAACGCUAGCUCGCCUCCUAAAUUCCUCAACAACUUGGUCAGCUUGAGGUAUCUUCGGCCUCCUGGCAUAGCCGAUAUCGGCAAGUUAACUUCCUUGCAAGGCCUUGAAUAUUUUCAGGUGAGAAAGGAAAGAGGAUGUGAGCUGGAGCAACUACAGAACCUGAACGAACUCCGGGGAUGCUUGCGCAUUGAUAAUCUUGAGAAUGUUGAGAGCAAGGAAAGUGCCAUCGCAGCCAACUUGAAAGAAAAGAAGCAUCUCGAUACGCUCCAGUUGGUAUGGCGCGACGGUGCGGACAGUGUAAAUUCUACUAUGGAUGCUGAAAUUCUCGAGGGUCUCCAAUUGCCUCCCAAUCUAACCAGCCUUCAUCUAGAUGGAUAUCGAGGAGGACGGCUGUGGCCAUCAUGGCCCGAGAAUCAAACAUCCAAUGUUGAAGUACUGGCGCUGAGGAGGUGUGGAAUGCUCGAAGAGCUCCCGCCAAUGGACCAGCUUUACCCUUCUUGCAGAUCGCUUGAGCUCUCGCAUCUUUCUAGGCUUAAAGCAUUACACACCCUUCCUCCGAGGCUUCGAAAAAUCGCAAUAUUUCGUGCGCCAUUUCUCACCUUCGUAACAAAGGAAGACCUGCAAAUGAGGCCGGCCGACAAGAGAUCCAUAAUAAAGGACACGAGGAAAAGGAUGCCGAAAUGGUUCCCACACCAACAUCAAGAGUCUUUAGUCCGCAAUGAAAGAGAAAUGAGGAAUUUCAUAGCCGCAACGAAUGGCUCCGACAGUAAUGAAGCUAGCUCUCGAAAGCAUGAUGAGAGGGUGCCUGCCGCCGACGCAGAUAUUACCGCUGUCCGGGAGAGAUGGUUGGAGAUGCACGAGCGAAAGAUGGAAUUGAUUUACAGCAGACGAAAUGAGGCCAAAUUGCUUCUGCCCUCUACCCUCACUAUGCUCUGGCUUGAGGGAUGCAAUAUUACUAACCACGCAUUGUCGGCAUGCCUACAAACUCUAACCUCACUCACCCGCCUGUCGCUCGUAGAUAUCAGAACGAUAACCCGUCUACCGUCUGUGGAUGCCGUUGCCAAGUUAAAAGCACUCCAAACUUUACGUCUGAGAGAUUGCUGGGCUCUCACUUCCCUGGGUGGUAUAAGAUCCCUCCCCCGUCUCGAAGAUCUCAUUCUAAUCGGAUGCCCCUGCUUGGCCGGUGAAACUGCUUCGCUGCCGUCCUCGUUGCGGUCUAUCCAUUCCGAGUCUUGUGCAAAUGUAGAUGCCAUCCUCACAAAUGCAGAUUUGCCACGCCUAUCUCGUCUUAUGAUUACUCGAUGUCGUAUGCGAGCAGCGUUGUUAAAGUUUGGCAACCUCCGAUCUCUUCGCUCCUUGAUUAUUGAGCAUUGUCCUGGGCUCUCAUCGCUGGCGGAUGUGCAGAAACUACGCUCUCUAAAAUUUCUCAUUCUGCAUAAUUGCUCAAAUCUACAGGAAGUGAUGAAUUUGCCCGGGUCACUCAAAAGUUUAGGAAUACGCGGAUGUCCGAUUUUAGAGGCACAAUCCGUAGACGUCGACCCCCGUUCGCGCGUGCGUAUGCUUGGCGGCAUCCCUGUAGAAGACAACUUCGAAACAUGCUCUGUAAUGUAGAAAAAGAGGUACGUAUCGCCUUACUGCUCUUACAAAUUGGCGAACUUUAAAUUCCUGAUCUUUUAUUCUUUUUUCCGCCCCAAUAGUGCAAGGGUUAAUCAGUCUCUUGAUGAAUCAGCGAAGAUCUUGAAGUACUUCAAACUUUCCUACACCUUGCCCGUGUGUUUUGAGAUUAGAUUUAAAAUGAUGAACCGACCUAGUUUUAGAUUGAAAUACUUUAUAAUCACUCGUCUAUCUACCGAAGAUAAUAAUAUUAAUCUCUGUAUUAAGUGGAUUCAUUUUGCUUCUGUACUCAUCAUGCACUUCUAUGUAAGCUACUCUUUCAAAAUUCUCUCUUUCAGGCCAUCAAAUGUAGAAUCAGUAUUUAAGUGCUUGCAUAUAAUUUGGUUCUAGGAUUGGGGUUUAUAUUGCCGGCGUUAUGAUACAAUCCUACAGUCCUAUUCUCUAAUAAUAGUUGUCCUUUUCGUAUCUUAAUGCUAAAUCAACACAACAUGGUUCAGAUGCAUUACUUACCUUACUUUAAUUGCUGCAGAUUCAAAAGUGUAGCCAAAUAGUAUUUCAUAUCAGUUUUCUUGCAGUAAUUUUCUAUGAAUUCCGAAAUUCGAAGGAUAAGAUUCAUGAUCUUGCAAUUCAAAUUGUAUCCUUCUAAUCUAUUUGAAGGUUAUGUAUCGCUUUAUUUUUCAUUGUGCUCACUUUUUAGUGUUCUAAUUCUGUACGUGCUUCACCAUCUUUUUGCAGACAACUGAUGGGCAUUAGCUUCUGAAGAUUGGAAAAAAAAGAGGAGUUUUGUUAAUAGGUAUGUAUAUUACUAUCCCGUGGAUUGUUAGGGGAAAAAAAAAAAGGUUUGUUAAUGGGUUUGUAUAUUACUAUUGUGUGGAUUGUUAAUUGGUGUUGUCAAAGAAUAGGUUUGACCAUCCCAAGAAAAAAAAACCAAAAACAAAAACAAGAGUGAAAAAACCAAAAAAAAAGGUGUGCAUGGUGUGCAUUGAUUGUUGUCAUACAAUGUAGUAUGUUUUUACUUUUUUUUGUUUGAGUGUAUUAUGUGUUGUAAACCUAGAAUUAUUGUCGUGUUAGUAUGCGAGUGUUUUAAUUUUGUUGUAGACUUGGUUCAGUUUUUCGAACAAAAAAAAAGGAUGUGAAUGGUGUGCAUUGUGGUCAUAAAAUGUGUUAUGUCUUCAUCUUUUUCUGUCUUAAUGUGUUAUGUGUUUUAAAGACUCUGUAAACCUGAACUUUGUGUCAUGUUUGUAUGUGAAUUUGGGUGUUUUAAUUUUGUUCUCGUAGUGCCUCUCGUCAAUUGUGGUGAAUGUAUAGAGAAUACUAUACCCUACUUAUGUUGAUACUGCCUAUCUUUUACAUUUUGAUAGUAUUGCAACAAAGGAAACCUUGAUCAAGGGAGAUGUUGCACCAAAUGUCUAGUGUGAACAAACAGAUUAACAUAUUCUGUGUAUUUUUACCGGAUACUUCUAAAGAUCUUCAUAAACAAAAAAAUAACUGAUAUAUGUGCAUUCUAACAUUGUAUCGUGCAAAUUAUACGGUACUAUAUUAACUAGUAUUUGACCCGUACGUUGCACGGCUAAUGUAAUAAUAUAAAGUAAUAAAAAUUAUCAUGUGGUAAUGUUAGAUGUGACUCGAAAUUGAUAUUCGACUCAAGUUCGAGUUUUCGACUUGCCAAUAGUUUCGCGGUACGACCAAAUUGGAAAAGAAAAUUAUGGAGGAAAAAUAAAUAACUGUGGUGGGUAGCGGAGGGCUCGGGCCUGUCGGCCCGAACCCAUUGUGAGUUUUCUUUUCGUUUUGGACUUAGAGGCGUGAGAUCGUGGUUGGUUGUAAUCAUCAGAACAUUGUAUUUCCUUUUCGUUUCGAUAGUGCUGUUCUCUCCUCCCUCGCCCGUGGUUUUUUCCUGCAAACGGUUUUCACCGUAAACUGUGUGUUCUUUCAUUUCUGCUUGUGGUUUGAUUAUUUUUUGUAUUCGUCAUUUUGUUUUCGUUUGUGCGUUUGUAAUAAAAAAAAAAGCAUCCUAACUAAUAUUAUAUUUUUUUAACAAAUAAACAAAUAUAUCGUCAAUCUUAAUCAUAGUACAUACUGAAAUACAAAAGUUGGAAAAAUAAAAUUAUGGACCAAAGUAAUACUAAGGUAAAGAACAAAAUUCAACUAUGUAUGUUUAAUCAACUGAAAUUCACAUUUGCAAUGUUGCAAGUUUCAAUUCAAGAAUAUUCAUACGUAAAUACUAAAAAUUAAUUAUCUUCAAGUCAAUGUAAGCAACGAAAUAUCACAAUUGACAACAAAGAAAAACUUAGUAGUGAUAGCAGGGACUCAUGUUGCAUGAAAAUGUAUGUUCAAUUUGAAAAUAACAGUCGUAUUUUAUAUUUUGAUCAGAAAGAACCAAUUCUAGGCUAUUCACCACAUCUGGACGAUAAAAUUCAGGCAUAAUAUAUAGACAAAUCACUCUGACUUUGAUCUUUUAUUUGUCUCCAAGAGGGGUGAUGUCCUUUAUAGAAUCAAACUCAGGUGCCAUAUCCUGAGAAUAAUAAGACAUUCAAGGCAAAAAGUUAGUACUUACUUCGUAUUUAAGUAAUAAAAUGAAAACAAUAUGUUCUAUUUUAAAACAUCAAUAUCUAAGAAUGAAGAAAAACUGGUUAAUAGAUACUUAACUGAAAUAUGCUAAAUAAUAUUAAAACACGGGACCUUUAGUGUGUGUGUGUAUAUAUAUAUAUAUAUAUAUACAUGCACACUAAUUUGUUAGAAAAGAAAAAAAUCUUAACAGACGUUAGAUACAUAAUUUAAUUUUUUUUAAAGAACUACAAACAUAAUAAAUAACAAAAAGGUAAUUAGCCCUAUAUUAGAUUAUGAAAAUUGUUAAAUACGCUAAACAUAAAGGUUGCCAUAAUUCAAUUAUAUGAAACAACUUAGAAUUCUCCAAACUUGUUUACAAACCUUAAAAAGGCUCAUAAUAAUCAUCUUGUAUGAGAAUAAAAUAUUACUCUGCGGACAAAUUGCACAUACAACAGCUGGAUUUAUUUUGAUAAUUUACCUUACGUAGCACCAAUUCUAUUUUUAACCACCUAUUUGCUAUAUAUGAGUUUGAUAUCUGAAUAUUGAAAAUGUUUGAAAAAUGGUAAACUUUAGUAUACAAUAAAUUGAAUAGAAUAAAAUGACAUUAAUGAUAAUGUUUGAAAAAUGGGCAAAAUAUAGUAUUUCCUAAUAAAAUUCUGUGACGUCCACAUAUCAUUUCAUUUCAUUUAUAGUAAUAAUUUGUUCUACUUGAAAAAUGAAUAAAAUUUGGAACUAUAAAACAACAAAUAUAAUUAUUGCAACAAAUCAGUUUUCAAGCCUCUAUUUAUAUAGCAAAUUAAAAAUCUAAUAUAGAAAUGUAAAGAGUUUGAUAUUAUAUUGAAAAUGAUGAGAUUUUUAAAUAUUAAUAAUUACCUUACGUACCACCAAUUCUAUUUUUAACCAUCUAUUUGCUAUAUAUGAGUUUAACCAAUUCUAUUUUUAACCAUCUAUUUGGUAUAUAUGAGUUUGACAUCUGAAUAUAGAAAAUGUUUGAAAAAUGGUAACCUUUAAUAUAUAAUAAAUUGAAUAGAAUAAAAUGAUAUGAAUGGUAACGUUUAAAAAAUGGGCAAAACAUAGUAUUUCCUAAUAAAAUUCUGUGGCCACCACAUGUUAUUUUAUUUUAUUUAUAGUAAAUAGUUCUACUUGAAAAUGAAUAAAAUUUAGAACCAUAAAACAACAAAAUAAUUAUUACAACAAAUCAAUUUCCAAGUCUUUAUUUAUGAUAGCAAAUUAAAAAUCUGAUAGUAUAAGAAUGCAAAGAGUUUGAUAUUAUAUUGAAAAUAAUGAAAUUUUUAAAUAUUGAUAAUUUACCUUACGUACCCCCAAUUUUAUUUUUAACUAUCUAUUUGCUAUAUAUAUGAGUUUAUCAUGCGUCAAGCAUACAAGAAAACACGUGUCAGUUUUACACCAAGAAUUCUACUUUAGUAUAUAGUAUAUAAUAUAUAAUAUAUAAUAAUAAAUAGAUGCACCAGCAUACUGUGUGUCAUAUGCAAAUUGACUUGUACAGUACAAACUAACAAAUAAUGAGGUAUCUGAAGUAUUACUCUAUACUAUUGAAGGCCCAACGUACUCUACAAAAAUUUAACAGCAAUAAAAAUUUAAUUAGCUUUUAUAUUUUUUAAAAAAUUUUAUUGGUUGCCAUUAAAUUGAUAAUUAAAAUUGGUAUAUGUGACAUGUCAGAAUUUUGCUGAAGCUGAUUAACUUAAGUAAGUUUAUAGCUCAUCAUAUAUAUACUAGUGAAGAGACUCGCGCUUUGCAGCGGAUAAAAACCCUAAUAGUAAUUAAUAAUAAUAAAAUAUUAAAUAUUCUCUUGUGCCUCUCAUUUGGUAUAUCUACCGAAAAUAUCUCACUGUAAGCUGCAGAUAUGAACCCGAUGAUGCCUUCUCCGGCGAUGGUGAUAGUGACGGCGACGACGAUCUCUCCGAUAGCGGCGGAAGAAGGAAUUGGGCACACAUUAGUGAGAGAGAGAGGGAGUGAGGGAAGGAGGCGAUGGUGUAUAGCUAAAGAUGAGAAAUAAAGAAUUGAUGAACAAAUCGAAGAUAAAGGAUUGAAAGUUCAGUGGAAGGAGGAAAAUGGGCCAUGAUGAAUAAUUGGAGAUAGAGGUUACGAUCGUAGAUAGUAAUAGGACCAUUUAAAUAUAUUAAUUGAAAGUUUGGUAGUGGAACCAUUUACAUUAAUUGAAAAUAUAGUGGAGGGAAGGUAGUGGGACCAUUUAAAUGUACUAAUUGAAAGUUUGAUUAAUGAGACCGUUAAAAUGUAUAUUGAAAAUUUAGUGAACAUGAUGAAUAAUUGGAUAUAGAGAGAUUAGGAUCGUAGAUAGUAGUAGGACCAUUUAAAUAUACUAAUUGAAAGUUUGGUAGUGAAACAAUUUAUAUUAAUUGAAAAUAUAGUGGAGGGAAGGUAAUGAGACCAUUUAAAUGCACUAAUUGAAAGUUUGUUUAAUGGGACCAUUAAAAUGCAUAUUGAAAAUUUAGUGAUGGAAUGAAGCAGGUAGCUUGCUACCUAGUUCUCAAAAAAAAAAAAAAUGUAGUGAUGGAAAGAAGAAGAGUUACAUUAGUGAGGGUGAAGAAAAACUUGCCACGUGGCAACAAAUAUUGAGGAUUCAUAUAGUUUAAUAGAUGUGUAUUAAUUCAUCAGAAAAUUAUUCAGCUAUUAAAAUAAUUAAGGAGAUUACUAAAAGUAAUAGUAGGAUGAGAUGGAGUAUAGCUCUUAAAAACCGGCCCUGCCCAAGUAUUUAGACUCUAUGUACCAAUAUAUUUCUCAUUUACAAAAUAUUGGUUGUAACACUGACUGUCCCUAGCGUAAAUGAUAAAAGGCUUGGUGGUUGGUAUCCGAGAUUUCAAGUUUGAAUUAUUUUUGUAUAAAAUAAACGAAGCGGAUAGCUUGCUACCUAUCUCUCAAAAAAAAUAUAUAUAUAUUAAUUGUAAAAUUUAUUUUAUAUUUUAGUAAUUUGUUUCAGCAUUUCGCUCGUGGAAAAGAGCAAAACUCAUAGGUGAAAAAUAUUACUUACUGGUUUAAGUCUUAGAAGAUGACAACCUUAUAUCAAAUUAAAAAUAAAUUUAAAGUUUAUCUCAAACUCCAAUGAUUAACAUAUGUUCAACUGUUCUUGUGAUUUUUAUCUUUUGCUAAUUUUAAUUUAUUCUCCACUGGAAAGUGAUUAUUUGGUAGGCUUAGUACAAAAGGAGAUGCACAAAACUCUAUAUAACAAAAAAGAAAUUUAAAUUUCUAUUGAUAGAUAAAUUCAAUGAACCUAUUUACUAUUCAUAGCUUGAAGAUGAUCAGAUUCAACGAACCUCAUAUAUUAUGUUGUAGGUGAAUGAUGCAUUCCAACCAUUUCAGGAGCAAAAGUUAUAAUCAAAAUUACUCAGGAUAAAAAUUAUGUGAGACUGAUUUGAGACCAGGAUAUUAUCUGUAUACGCGAUACAAAUUGGAAUUUUCAAAUCAUUGAAAUAACACAAAUUGAGGACUCAAAUCUUUGAAAAUUUCAAAUGGUACGACUACAUGCAAAUUAACUGAGGUCAAUGUAAAUUAUAAAUUUAAAAAUAAUUACAAAUUUUUAUUAUUUAAAAAUAAAUAAAUGGGCCACCAUUCCAGAUGAACCAUACAGUGCGCAAAUUAUUCUAGAAGGCCACUGGUUUUGUGUAAUUUGAUUUAUCAAUGAACUGUAGAAAUAUAUUACUAUUUUUUAUUUUCUUAAAUAUAAAUUUUAUAAAAUUUGAUACAUCAAUGAAAAUAUGUCAUGAUUAAUUACCUUGUAAUGCAUUCUGAUUGGGUGAUGCAUAAAAAUUUGCUUAAAUUAGAUUGCAAAUAGAAAAGAAAAUAAAUUUGACAACUAAUAUUAUACUUAUUAAAUUUGAUAAAAUUGUUCGGAUUAAUUACCUUGUAAUUUUAUCAAAUUACAAGGUGAAUUACCUUGCAAUCUAUUCGGAUUAAUUACCUUGCAAUCGAUUUUAUCAAAUUUGAUAAAAGAAAAUUUUACCUUGCAAUUUUAUUUACCUUUCAAAAUAAAUUAGAUUAAUUAAUAAUUUGACAACUAAUAUAAUACUUAUUAAAUUUGAUAAAAUUAAAUAACUAAACCAAGUGUAGAGAUUCAAAAAAAAAAGGCUAAAUUACAUAAACCUCAUUGUAAAUACCCGCUUUUUACUUUUUCUUUUUAAUUUUCAAAAAUCUAUAUUUUGCUUUCUUAAAAUUUCAAAAACAUUUUUAAAGAGUACGGCGUUAAUGGAGAGGGCAAAAUGAUUGAAUUACCCUUUUUUUUCAAUAAAAAAAUAUUUUUAAAAAUUUUUCUCUCAUCUUGAACGAUAUUUUCGAUAUAAAUUAAAAAAGGACGGAAUAGUAAUGUUAACCUACCGAGGGGAGGGGGGCUAAAUACAACAACUUUAAAUAUUUAGAAGGUAAAAUGUAGGUUUUUGAAAGUUAAGAAAGGAAAGUGAAAAGAACGGAUAUUUAUAAUGAGGUUUUUUUGUUAAUUUAGUCUAAAAAAUAAAGAAAAAAUUUAAGGGCCUGGAAUAAAAAUGUAGUUAGUAGGCUAAUUUCGAAAAGCUAAUAGUUGAGGGGGUCCCCUUGCAUUUUUAGCCCGGCAAGACCGCAAGAGCUUAGUUUUCGCCGCGCGCGCAUCGAACCGUCCCCAAGUUUAGGUCCGUCGCUCCGGCUCUUUCUUAAUUCUUUUGCUCCAGCAGGAAUCUCCUCUCAGCCUGCCUGCCGGCAACUCCAUCCGUUCUGCGGUCGGCGCAGGCGAGAAUGCCGGCGGCAGAAUUGAUCGGCUUGGCAGCACUGGGAUGGGUGGCAUCUCCCGCCGUGGCGAAGCUGCUCAGCGAAGGCUUCACCAGCCUGGGCAUGAUGAUGAUCAACACGGAGAAAAGGCUGGCCAAGCUGGAGUCCACCAUAUUCCCGGUGUUCGAGGUCGUGCUCGACGCCGCGGAGCGGAGCCCGCACCGAUCCAAGGUCAUGAAGUGGCUGCGCAGACUCAAAUCCGCUUACCACGACGCCGAGGACGCGCUGGACCUCCUCGACUACCAACGCCUCAAGCGCAAGGCCGCCGCCGCAAGCAGCCGUCGAAGGCGAAGAAGCAUUAUUACUAUUGCUCGGGUGCGCUCGCUCUUCCGUCCUUUAUUGAGAGGCAGUCGGAAUGUGCUAUCAUCUCGAAAGAUUAAGCUGAUGCGCAGGCUGAGCAAGCUGGAAGCGAUCGCCGGCGAAGCCGAGAAGCUCCGCGAUCUGCUAGGCGUGCAGCCUGUUCAGACGGCAGCGCGCGACGGCCGGCAGACCAUCUCGCUGCCUCCGCGCGGGGUGUUCGGUCGCGACAGCGAUUGCGAAGCGAUCAUCCGGCUUUUGGAAACGAAGCACCGGCAGGAGGGCGUGCCUAUAAUCCCCAUCGUCGGUCGCCCGGGGGUCGGAAAGACUACCCUCGCGCAGUACGUCUGCGAGCGGCUGACGAGCGAAUUCGGUAACAAGCAUUUCGAUCUUGUCGUUUGGGUCUACGCAUCUCGGAAUUUCAAAGCGUCCGAAAUUAUGAAAAACAUCAUACAACAAGCCUCUGCCGCAAGUGAGCCUCAGAGUCCGGUUAAUCCGAACGAUCUGCCCGCGGUGAUCCGCGCCCAUCUUCGUAACCUCGACAUGAUGGCCGUGGACAACAUCGACAGCGAUGAAGUGCUGCAGCGAAAAAUGGACGAAAAGUUGAACUCGAAGAAGUUCCUGCUUGUGAUAGACGAUGUUUGGUGCGACGGAGAAGACCACGCGCAUAAUUGGGACACUCUGCUCAGAUGUUUGAGCAAAUGUUCGCCCGGGAGCAAGAUUUUAGUUACAUCUCAAACAAACGAUGCGCCGAGAAAGAUGGGCGCCGCUGCGGAGAACAUUUAUGUUCUCGGAGAGUUAGAGGAGGACGACUUUUUGGAUCUUUUCAUUCACCAUGCGUUGAACGGCGAGGGGAUCGAUCCUUGCGUGCGAGAAGAUUUGGAAAAGAUAGGCAAGACGAUCGCCAGGAGGUUGGAUAGAGAUCCUACGGCCGCGAAGAUAGUCGGCCUCUGCCUACAAGACAAGCUGCAGGUGAGAUAUUGGACAGAAACUGCAGAGAAGGACUGGUCCGACGACAAAACCAAAGCAUUGAUGUGGAGUUAUCAGCAUUUGCCCGCACAUCUGCAGCGCUGCUUCGCGUACUUAAACCUGUAUCCUAAAGGCUACAAGUUCAAAGAUUUAGAAGUCUUUCAGUUCUGGAUGGCGCAGGGUUUCAUCAAGCCGGCGGAGCAGGAUGCGAGGAUGGAGGAUGUGGGCAGCCGAUACCUGAAAGAGCUGGUCUCCAGAUUCUACGUUCAGUCUCACGGCAGCUACUAUACGUUGCACGAGUUACUCUAUGAUCUAGCCGAAAAGGUUACUUGCGACGAUUGUCUUAAAAUAGAAGGUAAUCAUCAAAAGAAGAUCCCCGCAACUAUACGCCAUCUGUGCGUACCGGCUAGCAAACUGAAAAUCAAUCAGGAGGAGAUUUGCAAACUAAAGAAACUGCGCACCCUGAUCGUCACAAGCGGAGAAGAAAGCAUCGCCUCAAAAGGAAAGGUUGCGACCGGCAUCUUCAAGAGCUUGAAAAGAUUGCGUGUGCUGGUUUUGGAGUUGAAUCUAGAAAAUUUGGCAGAAUUUAUUAGUGAACUGAAGCACCUUCGCAUCCUGCAAGUUCCAGAUAUUAGCAAGUUUGUGUUGCCAAAGUCGGCGUGCGCUCUUUACCAGUUGCAGGUGUUAAGGAUAAAAAGCGCGAGGUCGAUUCCUAAAUGCCUUGAUAACUUCGUCAGCUUGAGGUAUCUAGAGCCUCCCGACGUUCCCGAUAUCGGCAAGUUAACUUCCUUGCAAGGCCUAGAAAUAUUUCAGGUGAGAAAGGAAAAAGGAUACGAACUGGCGCAGUUGCAGAACUUGAAUGAACUUCGAGGACGCUUGCGCAUUGAUAGUCUUGAGAAUGUUGAGAGCAAGGAGAGCGCCAUUGCAGCCAAUUUGAAAGAAAAGAAGUAUCUUGAUAUGCUCCAGUUGGUAUGGCGCGACGGUGAGGAUAAUGUAAACUCUAAUUUGGAUGUCGAAAUCCUUGAAGGUCUCCAGUUGCCCCCCAAUCUUACCAGCCUGAUUUUAGAUGGGUAUCGGGGACGGUCGUGUCCGUCUUGGCCCGAACAUCAAACAUCCGAUAUUCAAGAACUCACGCUGGAGCGGUGUAGAAUGCUCGAAGAGCUCCCGCCGAUGGAACAGCUUUACCCUUCUUGCAGAUCACUUGAGCUUUGCAAUCUUUCUAAACUUAAAGCAUUACACACCCUUCCCCCGAGCCUUAGAAAACUCACAAUACUUAUUACUCCAGUCCUCACCUUUGUAACAAAGGAAGACCUGCAGAUGAGCCAAGAGCUGAAGGCAUCCAUAAAGCAGGUCAUGAGAAACAGGAUGCAGAAAUGGUUCCCACGCCAAAAUCAGGAGGACUUAGUCCCCAAGGGAAGAGAAAUGAGGGAUUUCUUAGUCACAAUGAAUGGCUCCGACAAUGACGCUAGCUCUCCAGGACAUACUAGUAUACCUGCCGACAUAGAUAGAUGGUUGCGAUUACAUGAGCAAAAAAUGGAAUUAAUUUACAGCAGACGAAAUGAGGCCAAACUGCUUCUGCCCUCUACCCUCACCGAGCUCUGGCUUGAGGAAUGCAGUAUUACUAACCGCGCAUUGUCGGCGUGCCUACAAAACCUCACCUCUCUUACCACGCUGUCGUUAGGGGAUAUCAGAACGAUAACCCGCCUACCAUCUGCGGACGUACUUGGCAAGUUAACAUCACUCCAGGCUAUAAUUCUACGGGGGUGCUGGGCCGUCACUUCGCUGGGUGGUAUCAGAUCCCUUCCCCAUCUCAAAGAACUCUACCUAUCCGGAUGCCCCUGCUUGGAUAGUAAAGAUGCUUUCCUGCCGCCCUCGUUGGAGUCUACUGACUUUCUUUGUUGUGCAAAUGUAGAUGACAUCUUAGCAAAUGCAGAUUUGCCACGUCUAUCUCGUCUUACGAUUACUCAGUGUCAUAUGCGAACGGCAUCGUUACAGUUCGGCAACCUCCCAUCUCUUCACUCCUUGCGUGUUGGGCAUUGUCCUGGCCUCUCAUUCUCAGUGGAUGUGCAGAAACUGCACUCUCUAGAGUUUCUCAUUCUGCAGAACUGCACAAAUCUACAGGCAGUGAUGAAUUUACCCAAGUCACUCCGAAGUUUAGUAAUACGCGGGUGUCCGAUUUUAGAGAAGCAAUCUGUAAAGAGCGAUUCAGGCGUACAUAUGCUUGGCGGCGUCCCUGUAGAGCAGUAGAAGACAGCUUCCCUACAUGUUUCUGGGAUGUAGAACAGACUUGCGUAUCGUAUCGCCUUCCGGUUCUUACGAAUUUGCUUGUCCAUUUAAGACAAAGCUUCCAAUCCCUGAUCUUCUUAUUCUUUUUUUCCUACUUAAAGUGCAAAUUUUAGUCACAGCCUCUUGACGAAUCAGCAAAGAUCAUGAAGCUCUUCAAACUUUUCUACAUUUUGCCUGUGUUUUUGAUAUUAGGUUUAAAAUGUUGAACUGUUUUUGUAAGCUACUCAUUUAAUUUUCUUCUUUGUUGGUUUCCAGUCAUUGCGUGUAUAAUUUGGUUCUAUGACUGGAGCUUUAGAUUGUUGGUGUUAUGAUGCAAUACCUACUGUUCUAUUCUAUAAUCGCUGUCCUUUUCGAAUCUUUAUGCUAAAUCAACAUAAUUCAGCUGAGUUAUUUCCCUUGCUUGUUUAUUUAACUCCUGGAGAUUCAAAACUGCAGCAGAGAGUAUUUCAUAUCAGCUUUCUAGUCAAAACAGUCACAAAAUUCAGAAAGAUAAGAUUCAUGAUCUUGCAAUUUAAAUUUUUAUAUUUAAUCUUUUUGAAUACACCACUUUCUUUAUUUGUCAGUGUGUUCACUUCUCAAUGUUCUAAUUUUGUUUCUGUUUCACCAUCUUUCUGCAGAUGAUGGAUAAAAUUAACUCAAAACCUAAUCCGGCUGAUUUCUCUUGUGAGGAACUACUAGCACAGAGAUUCCUGGAUAUGGUGAGAUUUUUAUUUUCAGCCGUUGAUUUUAAUCUCUUUUGAUCGCUAGGUAAAUGAUAUCGAAAAACCGUAAAAUUUAUUUUUUGAUACUUCAAAUAUGCUAGAUCAAGUCUAACGGAGCCGAUCGUUGAUUCGAAACCUCCAUCAUCGAAAACGGCUUAGGAGCACGGAGGCCUCCGUGCUCCUAAUAGCACACAAGACCUACUCUCUCUCUCUCUCUCUCUCUCUAUAUAUAUAUAUAUAUAAUUGAGCUGCCACGCUGUACAUAGUGGAAGAAUAGUAUUUACUAUAGACUUUUUAAUCCUUUGAUACAUAAGAUAUACUAUUUGGUGGUGGUAUUCAUAUGGAUCCAGGGCUAAAAUGUCUAUAGUAAGUACUACUCAUCUACUAUAUUGCUGUUAAAUUUUUGUAGAGUAGGCCUUUCAUCGUAUAGAGUAAUGCUUCAGAUACCUCAUCAUUUGUUAGUUUGUACUGUACAAAUUAAUUUAGCACACAAUGUGUUGGUACAUAUGCCUAUAACUGUUCAAUUUGCAUGUCACAACGCUAAAAUGCAUAUACAUUAUUUUUUUUUUUUAAUAAAGAUCUUUAAAAGCAGUACCUGUAGCAAUACUCAAAAUAUAUAAAUCGCGGCAUCUCCCUUGAUCGAGGUUUCCUUCAUUGCACAGUAUAAUACUAUAAAAAUGUAAAAAAUUAACAGUAACAACAUAAAUAUAGUAUAGUUGUACUACAAGGACAAAAUGAAAACACCCAAAUUCACAUACAAACAUGACAUAAAUUUAAUUUCAGGUUUACAGGGUCUUUAGUUUACACUGUAGAAAACAUAAUAAUACAUUAAGACAAAAAAGAUGAAAACAUAAUACAUUUUAAUGACCACAAUGCACACCAAGCACAUCCCUUUUUCACAACACCAAUUAACAAUCCACACAAUAGCAAUAUAUAUAAAAUAGCAUACCCAUUAACAAUUUUUUUUUUGUUUUCAUUUUGUUUUUUUUUUGCUUUUUUUCUUUUGGAUUGCCACACCAACUCUUUGACAACAAUUAACAAUCCACACAACAGCAAUAUACAUACCCAUUAAUAAACUUUUUUUUCCCCAAUCUUCAGAAGCUUAAAAAAAAGCCCAUCAUCAAUUAGCUGUAGAAAGAUGGUGAAACAGAUAUAGAAUUAGAAUACUAAAAAGUGAGUGCAAUGAGAAAUAAAGUGAUACGUAACGUUCAAAUACAUUAGAAUGAUACAAUUUGAAUUGCAAGAUCAUGAAUCUUAUCCUUUGAAUUUUGGAAUUCAUAGAAAAUUACUGCAAGAAAACUGAUAUAAAAUACUUUUUGAUCACACUUUUGAAUCUGCAUGAAUUGAAGUAAGGGAAGUAAUGCAUCUGAACCAUGUUGAUUUAGCAUUAAGAUUCGAAAAGAACAACGAUUAGAGAAUAGGACUGUAGGAUUGUGUCAUAACACCAACACUAUAAACCCCAAUACUAGAACCAAAUUAUAUUGCAAGCACUUAAAUACUGACUCUACAUUUGAUGGCCUGAAAGAGAAAAUUUUGAAAGAGUAGCUUAUAUAGAAGUGCAUGAUGAGUACAGAAGCAAAUGCAUCCACUUACUACAGAGAUUAAUAUUAUUAUCUUCAAGUCGAGUGAUUAUAAAGUAUUUCAAUUUAAAACUAGGUCAGAUCAUUGUUUUAAAUCUAAUCUCAAAGCACACAGACAAGGUGUAGAAAAGUUUGAAGUGCUUCAAGAUCUUCGCUGAUUCAUCAAGAGACAAUGAUUAACUUCUGCACUUCAGAGAAUAAGAUCAGGAAUUCAAAGUUUGCCAAUUUGUAAGAACAGGAAGGUACCUCUUUUCCACAUUACAGAGCAUGUUUCGAAAUUCGAAGUUGUCUUCUACAGGGCUGGCACCAAGCAUACGCGCGCACGAACGCGGUCGAAUUUUAAGUAUUGCACCUUUAUAAUCGGACAUCCCCAUAUUUCUAAACUUUUGAGUGACAUGGGAAAAUUCAUCACUGGUUGCAGAUUUGGGCAGUUCAUCAGAACGAGAAAUUCUAGGGAGUGCAGUUCCAGUAUAUCCUGCAACAAUGAGAGCCCAGGACAAUGCUCAAUACUCAAGGAGCUAAGAGAUGGGAGGUUGCCCAGCUGUAACGAUGCCGUUCGCAUAUGACAUUGAGUAAUUGUAAGACGAGAUAGACAUGGCAAAUCCGCAUUUGCUAGUAUUACAUCUACAUCUGCACAAGACUCAAAAAGGAUAGACUGCAACGAGGACGGCGGCAAAGCAGUUUCACCGUCCAAGCAGGGGCAUCCAAUUAGAAGGAGAUUUUUGAGAUGGCGGAGGGAUCUUAUACCCCCCAGCGAAGUGAUGGCCCAGCACCCUCGUAGAGUCACAUCUUGGAGUGAUGUUAAGUUGCUGAGGACAUCCGCAGAUGGCAGACAGGUUACUGCUCUGAUCUCUGCCAGCGAGAGGUAGGUAAGGGAGGUAAGAGUUUGUAGGCAUGCCGACAACGCGUGGUCUGUAAUACUGCAUCCCUCAAGCGAGAGCUUGGUAAGGGUAGAGGGCAGCAGCAGUUUGGCCUCAUUUUGUCUGCUGUAAAUCAAUUCCAUCGUCCCCUCAUGCGCCUCCAACCAUCUCUCCCAGACAGCGGUUAUAUCCACGUUGGCGGCAGGUGCGCUCUUAUUAUGCUCUGCAGAGCUAGCUUCAUUACUUGAGUCAUUCGUUGCGGCUUUGGAAUUCAUCAUUGCUUUUUCAUUGUUGACUAAGGGCCGUUGAUAUAGGAAGAUAGACCAUGUCUCCAUCCUUUUAGUCAUGAUCAUUAGUCCUUUUUCAUUGUUGACUGAGGACUCCCGAUCUUGCUGCAGAAACCAUUUCGGCAUCCUUUUGCUCAUGACCUGCUUCAUGGAUGUCUUCUCUUCUUGGCUCAUCUGCAGGUCUUCAUUUGUUACGAGGGUGAGAAACGGCGUACGAAAUAUUGCAUUCCUCAAGCCGACCAAGUCGGUAAGGUGUGCAGGAAGUGAGCUAGCGUUUUCUACUCCCAACACCUGUAGCUGAUACAGAGUGGACACCGACUUCGGCAGCACGAACUUGCCAGUACUUGAAACUUGCAGGAUGCGAAGGUGCUUCAUUUCGCUUAUAAACUUUGAUGUCAGUUUUUCCAGAUUUAACCCCAAAGCCUGUAGCACGCGCAACUUUUUUAAGCUCUUGAAGAUGCUGGUCGCAACAUUUUUGUCUGAGACGACGCUUUGUCCUUUCGUGACGAUUAGGGUGCGAAGUUUCUUCAGUUUGCAAAUUUCCUCCUUCUUCUCAUUCAGUUUGUCAGCCGGUAUGCACAGAUGGCGAAUAGUCGACGGGAUCUCGCUUUGACAAUUACCUUCUAUUCUAACACAGUCACUGCGAGAAACUUUUUCUGCUAGAUCAUACAGCAAUUCAUGCAACGUGUAGCAGCAGACAAGCUUACCUGUCCCAGAGGAGUGGCAGAAUCUUUUAUGACGCUGAAUGUAGAAUCUGGACACCAAAUCUUUUAGGUCGCCUGCAUCCUCCAUCCUCUCAUUCCGAUCAUCCAGCUUGAUAAAACCUUGCGCCAUCCAGAGCCGAACCAGUUCUAAAGCUUUGAACUUGUAUCCUCUAGGAUACAGGCGACAGUAUGAGAAGCAACGCUUGAGAUGUGCCGGCAAAUGCCGGAAGCUCCACAUCAGUGCUUUGGUUUUGCCGCCGGACCAGUCCUCGUCUGUAAUCGUUUCCAAAUAUUCAUGCAAAUAUUCAUGCAAAUUAUCAUGCAAAUUAUCUUGGAGACUGGCCAGCUUCUUAGCGAUCGUCUUGCCGACCAUCUUGGCCGCCGUAGGGUCCUUGUUCAACUUCGCAGCCAUUGUCCUGCAUUUCUCUUUUAAAUCUUCUCUUAGGUGAGAAUCGCAUUGCCACAAUGCGUGGUGAAUGAAAAGAUCUGAGAAGUCAUUGUCUGCUAAAUCUUCCAAAUGGCAAACGUAUUCCACAGAAGCACCAUUAGGAGCAACAGUAAUAUUUCUCGGACGAUGAUCGUCCGUUUGAGACGUGAUUUCCGUUUGAGACGUGAUUUUUGUUUGAGACGUAACUAAAAUCUUGCUCCCUGGCAGACAACAACAUGUGCUUAAACAUCUCAAUAGCACAUCCCAAUUCUCCUCGCGGUCUUCUCCAUCCCGAUUCUCCUUGCGGUCUUCUCCAUCCCGAUUCUCCUUGCGGUCUUCUCCGUCGAACCAAACAUCAUCUAUCACGAGCAGGAACUUCUUCGCGUUCAGCUUUUCGUUCAUUUUCUGUCGUAGCGCUUCAGGCGAGCUAAGGUUACCGACAUCUGCGGGAGAAGCUAGUUGUACGAUGUCUCUCAUAAUUUCGGAUGCGUUGAAAUUGCGAGAUGCGUGGACCCACAUGAUGGGAUGAAAAUGUUGUCUGUCACCUAAUUCGCUCUUCAGCUGCUUGCGGACGUACUGUGCGAGAGUGGUCUUCCCGACCCCCGGGCGGCCGUCUAUGGCAAUUAUAGGCACGCCCGAUGACGAUCCAGGCUCGCGAAUUGCUGCAGGUUCCAUUUUCAAACGCCGAAUGAUUUCAUCACGUUCCUUGUCACGGCCGAACACCGUCAGCGGAGGCUCUGAGAUGGCCUGCAUGCUGUCAGGCGCUGCUGCUGCCGUCUGGUCGGGCUGGGCGCCUAACAAGGUGCGGAGUUUCUCGGCUUCGCCGGCGAUCUUUUCAAGCUUGUUCAGCCUUCGCUUCAGCUUGAACUUUUUUGGCGACAGCGUAUCCCGAACAAUUUUUGGUACCGGAUUACUUCGCCUCUUGCCACUCCUUGCUUCCGCCACCUGCCGUCCGAGGCGGCCGUAGUGGAGGAGGUCCAGCGCGUCCUCCGCGCCGUCGUAAGCGUCUUUCAGCCUCUGCAGCCAGCCCUCCACCUCGCUCCGGUGCGGGCUGCCCUCCGCUUUCUCGAUCACCGAUUUCAGCACCGGGAGGACGGUGUCCCUCAUCUUCUCCAGCUUCUUCUCCGCGUUGAUGCCUAAGCUGAGGUAGCCUUCGUUGAGCAGCUUCGCCACGAGGGGAGACGCCACCCAUCCCAGCACUGCUAAUAUGGCCGCCUCUACUCCCGCCAUUCUCGUGCCUGCAAGCUCAGAACAGACAGCUGGCUAGCUGCCAGCUGAGAAUUAACGACACCAAAGAAUAAUUUUAUUAUUAAUCGACCCCUGCACUCUGGUGUUCCUUCAAUCUAAGGCAUAAAAAUUACAGCUUAUUAAUCACGUAUGUGUGUUUCUUUUUACAUGAGUAUAUUAUAAAGCAAUGCUAUUUAAUGAUGCCCUAUAAUAUUAUAAGCUCUCUAUGAUCUAAUAAAUAUACUCUUUUAAUUAUUAUUUUUCAGCUUCCUGGUGUAUAUUAUUCACGUCUUCAUCCAAAGUCUUUUGUCUCGUCAACUUUUAUUAAAUAAAAAAUUAAAAUUUCAUCCAAAGUCUUUUGUCUUUUGUCUUGUCAACUUUUAAAAUUUUAAUCGAUGGUCUUUAGAGCAAGUGGCAAACGGCUUGGUGAUUGGUAUCCGAGGUUCGAAUUCUAGUUGAUUCACAUUUCUAGCUAAGUUUAUUUCUAAAUGAAAUAAACGAAGCGGGUAGCGUGCUACCUAUCUCUCAAAAAAAAAAAAAAUGGUUGUAACAUUUGAUCGUGCCGACUUUGAGAAAGUUCAAAUAAAAAAUUAUAACGAAUUAAAAUUUGAGAAUCAAAUGUCACCUGACUCGUAGUUUGAGGACCAAACAUGUAAAUUACCUAAUGGUAAUAAUAAUUGACUCAACUAGGCCCUCGUUCUUAUCUGUGAUUAUAUAUAGUUUAUACUAUCUUAUUGACUUGAGUCCCUGCUGGGUUUUUUUCUUUGUGAGAAAAAAAUAGUAUAUUAUUUGUUUUAUUUAUUUUAUUUAAAAAUAAAUUUAGCUAAAAAUAUAAAAUAAUUAAGCUUCAAAUCUGAGAUCUCGGAUAUCAACUAUCAAGUUUUGUGCCAUUGUGUUAGAGACGAUUGAUUGCCAAGGAUUAUUAUUAAGCAAUGCUAUCUAAUGCGCUCUAUAAUGUAGGCUUUCUUAUGGUUUAAAGAUAUACUCUUAUUAUUAUUAUUAUUAUUAUUAUUAUUAUUAUUAUUUUUGAGAGAAAGGUAGCAUGUUAUCCGAUUCGUUUAUUUCAUUUAGAAAUAAACUUAGCUGGAAAUAUGAAUCAAUUAGGAUUCGAACUUGGAUCUCGAGAAUCAACUAGAAUUUCGAUUUUGUAUUCUGAUUUGCUGGAAAUGUGAACCUAAUAUAAUUAUUAUUAUUGUUAAUAAUAAUAAUUAUACUCUUAUUAUUACUAUUUUUAGCAAUGCUAUUUAUAGACCUCAAAAAAUGGUACUGUAUAGUAUACGCACCUUUGUCCGAGGCCUUUUGUCCUGUCAACUUUUUAAAAAAUAUAUUAAAAUUUUAAAUUUUUUUGUAAAUAUAUUAGAAUGAUCGGACAUAAAUUAUACAAUUUUAUUUGGAGUGUAUAUUUAGCUUUUUGUAUACCAAAAAAGAGGAAUGUAUAUGUCAAUUACGGCAUUUAUAGGCAAGGCCAAGAAGGGAAGCAUUAGUACACUCUAGUAAUAAGUUAUAAGAAUAGCAAUGAGCAAAUAAAAAUAUAGGUCCCCGUUGUAAAUAGAAAUGUUAUAAUUAUAACACAGAUAUUGUUGGAUGUGCCUUAAAAUUUAAUUAUCGAGUUCGAUUUUGUAUUCUGAUUCGCCGAAAUAUUUACAGUGCUUACAACGAUCCGAUCCGUGAACAAUAAUAAUUUGUUGAACUCAAACCACGGGCCAAAAUAUUUUAAGCCUAAUUAUUAUUAUUAACAUGCUAGGUCUCGUAUAUUCCAAUUAGAAUUAUUUUUCCAUCAGCGUUAUAUACCCUCUUUUAAUUUUAAGAUCCCAACGUUUUUCUCAUGUCUAAACCCGAUAAAAAUUUAUCAGGUGAUGUAAAAUUCUAGAGAUAACUCCUAUGGGUUUAAGCGAUGUGUCACGGACUUAGCGUUUUCGUUCGCAAAUCCCGUGCGGCUCCCGCAUCACUGCUCGAAGAUGGGCAAGUCUUUGUCCCUAUUGCAAGCCCGAACCUUCACGUCCUACGACUAAGUAUGCAAAGAGAAGAAACGAGAGAGAGAGGUAGAGGUUCACUAAAAAAACUAAGUACUCCAGGACUUAGCGUUUUCGUUUGCAAAGCCCGUGCGGCGCCCGCCUUCAUGCUUGAAGAUGGGCAAGCCUUUGUCCUUGUUGCAAGCUCGGACCUUCACGUCCUACGACUAAGUAUGCAAAAGAAAGAAACGAGAGAAAGAGGCGGAGGUUCACUAAAAAAACUAUAUAUUCCACUACUUAGAAAAAAAGAUUACAGUAUACAAACACACUUUUUUUUGUGUGUCUUGGCCUUAGCCAAACGCUACUAUUUAUAUGCCUAAGGAUACAUUGAACCUAGCCACAUAACUCACCGACUAGCCUACUCAUAAUGAGCCCUCAUAAUAAUCAAAAGCCCAAGAGUCACACCAUAACUUAUGACAGUUUUAUAACCCUUGAGUUUCCCACAGCGGGUUGGGUUUGGGUCUCCUUGACAACUCGAUUCAACCCGUUUUCGCUAACAGAGUUAGGCCAGGGAUCGGGCUGCAUAGAAAUUUUUCCAAAUCCUUGACACCCUCCUCCACCUAAUGUGCAGGCGUCCUCGUCGCACGCUGCUUUUGGAACUCGUCGAUGAGCGCUUGGUACUGUCAAAAUGUAUCCGCUUUCUCCCAACUAGUCUCGCCGUAGGGGAGAUUCUUCCACUUUACCAAGUAUUCAGGAUUCGGCGGAACUCCACAUCGCCGAAUGAGUCGAGUGUCCAGGAUAAACUCCGCCUGUUUGUCGAAUGAAGUCACUAUGGUCGCAGAUGCUCACUGCGACACACUGCGGCUUAGAUCCUCCUCGUCUUCGUGGUACAGCUUCAACCUGCUGACAUGAAAGACAGGGUGGAUCUUGAAGUUCGCGGGCAGCUACAGCUUGUAGGCCCCUUUGCCCACACGCUUGACAACGGUAAAUGGGCCUUCAUACUUGCGCAGCAGUCCCUUGUGCACCUUCCGCAAGGCUUUGAACUGUUGCGGCUGAAGCUUGACCAUCACGCGGUCGCCCUCGGCAAACUCCCGAGGCUGCCCCUUUUCGUCAGCCCACUUAUUUAUCCGUCGCGCUGCUUUCUCCAAGUUUGCCCUUGCAAUCUCGCCUUUUUCCUGCCAGUUAGUGGUAAACUGAAAAGCAACUGGACUGCGGAACUGCUCUCCCACAGCAGCCGUAUGAGGAGCAAGUAGUUGCCGCCCGAUCACCAACUCGAAGGGGCUGCAGCCUGUAGACUCGCUGCGCCGCAAGUUAUAGAAAAACUAGACGACAUCAAGGUGAUGCACCCAAUCCUUCUAGUUGGUACUCACAUAGUGCCGCAAGUACUCCUCCAACAGAGCGUUCACCCGCUCCGUUUGUCUGUCCGCCUGCGGAUGAAAACUGGUGGAGAAGAGCAACUCCGACCCCAAGAUUUUGAACACCUCGGUCCAAAACUUGCCAGUGAACCUGGGGUCGCAGUCGCUCACCAUGCUCACGAGAAUCCCCCAAAGCUUGACGAUGUGGCUGACGAAGAAGCGUGCUGCUUUUUCAGCUAUGCAAUCGGUCAAUGCAGCAAUUAAGAUCCUGUACUUGAAAAAACGAUCAACUACCACCAGAAUGGACCCAAGCUCCCCCACCUUUGGCAAAACGGUGAUGAAGUCCAUCGAGAGGCUCUGUUACGGAUGGCUAGGCACAGGUAAAGGCUCGAGGAGUCCGCCAGGUCGCUGGUGCUCAACUUUGUCUUGUUGACACACCAAGCAAGUUCGCACAUAGGCCUCAAUGUCUUCGUGCAUCCGUGGCCAAAAGUAGGCGGCCUUGAGCAACGCCAAGGUCCGCUUCUGACCUGGGUGGCCCGCCCACUUGGAGUCGUGGCACUCCUUGAUGAGCUCGCGGCGAAGGUUGCCCCACUUGGGCAAGUACACCCGUCGCCCCUUGGUGAGGAGCAGCCCGUCGUUCAGCCAAAACCUUCGCAUUUUGCCCUCCUUGACAAGCUGCACCAAAUUCUGAGCGAUAGGGUCGUCGUUGGUUCUUGAACGAAGUCGAUCGCGGAGCGUCCCGUGAAGCUGCCACACGGCUGCAAGUUCAGCCUUGCGGCUGAGAGCAUCAGCCACGCGGUUUUCCUUUUCCGGGCUUGUAUUGCAUCUCCAUGUCGAACUCCGCCAAGAAGUCCUGCCACCUCGCCUGCUUAGGCGACAGCUUCUUUUGCGAUUAGAAGUAGCUCGUGGCAACGUUGUCGGUACGUACCACAAACUUGCUCCCAAGCAAAUAGUGCCGCCAAGUUUGCAAGCAGUGCACCACAGCGAUUAUUUCCUUCUCCUGAACGGUGUAACGCCGCUCAGUGUCGUUAAGCUUGCGGCUUUCAUAGGCAAUAGGAUGUCUGUCCUGCACGAGGACACCGCCAAUGGCAAAGUCAGAGGCAUCAGUAUGUACCUCAAAGGUGCCGCUGCAGUCGAGUAGUCGCAGCACUGGAUCCUCCGUCACUGCUCGCUUUAGGUCCUCAAAUGCCUCCGCGCAUUGAGAGGUCUACACCCACGAGUGGUUUUUCUUCAGCAGAUCCGUCAACGAGGCUGUUCUCGCAAAGUAGCCUGCAAUGAAACGGCGGUAGUAGUUGACGAGCCCAAGGAAAGACCGCAACUCGGACACCGUCGUUGGGGUCUCCCAUUCGCAGAUGGCUCGCACCUUCCGCUGGUCCAUGCGAAUCAGGCCCUGGCCUAUCCAGUGGCCAAGGAAGUGCACCUCUUCCUUUGCGAAUAUACACUUCUCCUUCUUGACCAACAACUGGUUCUCCCGCAGCACUUGGAAGACGAUUCGCAAGUGCUCGAUGUGCUCCUACAAGGUGUUACUGUAUACCAUGAUGUCGUCGAUGUACACCACCACAAAGCGAUCGAGAUAGGGAUGAAACAGCUUGUUCAUGAGUGUGCAGAAGGUUGCCGGCGCAUUUAUCAAGCUGAACGGCAUGACAAGGAACUCAUAGGCCCCGUACCUCGUCACGCACGUGGUCUUUUCCUCAUCUCCUUCCGCAAUCCACACUUGGAUAGUACUCAGAUCGAAGGUUGAGUUUGGUGAAGUACUUCGCUCCGCCUAAUUGGUCGAAGAAAUCUGCAACCAAAGGAAUAUGGUACUUAUUUUUUACCGUUACCUUGUUGAGCGCUCUGUAAUCGAUACAAAGUUGUAGGCUUCCGUCGCUCUUCCGCUGGAACAAAAUUGGUGCUCCAUAAGGUGCUUUUGACGGUCGAAUAAAGCCCGCAUCAAGGAGCUCCUUCAACUGCUUUUGUAGCUCCUCGAGCUCUGGCGGGGCCAUUCUAUAUGGCGCUUUCGCUCGCGAUUUGGCUCCUGGCUCGAGCUCGAUGGCGUGAUCCACCUCCCGCCUAGGUGGAAGUUGCUUAGGCAGCUCCUUCGACAUAACAUCCUGAAAAUUUGCCAAGACUGCCUCAAUCUCUGUAGGAAGGCCUUCUUCCUCGAAGCCCUCGUCGCUUACCUCGCGGAUAGCAGCAAGGUAAGUCAUUUCGCCAUGGUUCACACCCCUUCGCAGCUGCAAGGUAGAGAGGGCCUGAGUGCUUACCGUUUUCUCCUGGCUCGCUAGGACCAUGCAUGGAGCUGCCUCGUCCAUGAUGCUUAAGGCCCCAAGGUGUGGCAUUGGAACUGCCUUCGACGAGGCCAAGAAAUCCAUGACAAGUAUGACUUGGAAGUCGUCGAUAGGUGCGGCGAUGAAGUUUGCGAUGCCUCUCUAAGGUCCCACCGCAAUGGCCACGCCCGCAACAGGUUGCGCCUCAGAAUUGACGGCCUUGAUCCUACUAGCAUCCUUCUCAAGGGAAAGGCCUAUCCGUUUGGCCUCCACUUCGGCAACAAAGUUGUGAGUGGCGCCCGUGUCCACUAAUGCUCAUGUUGCCCUGCCGUUAAAGGUCACAUCGAUGUAUAGAAGCUCCUUGUUGAGGGGCUUGCUGUUGCUUGCCAGUCCCUGAACUGCGUUGACGAGCCUGAGCGCGCCCAUCGUCGUCGAUUCUGCAUUGCUCUCGCCCUGCUUGGUUUGGACUGCAUUCACCUGCUUUUUCUUUGGGCAGUCCCUAGCCCAAGGUUCUCACCGCAGACGUAGCACAUCAAUUUCUUCGGCGGCAGCAUAGGACCCCUCUCGCGGCCCGUGCGCUUCUUCUGGUCGCAACGGUCUCCUCCACCUUUAGCUUUGCUCGCUUUGGGCGCUUUGCUGCGAGUUGAAUCCGCCCGCUUGUACUCAGGCAGUUUUUUCGCUAAGACAAUUGCGGAGGCAACGUCCUUGACGUCAUGCCCCACAAGCUCCUUGUUCGCCCAAGGUUGGAGCCCGUCGAGAAAAAAGAAUAAGCGAUCUUCCUCCACCAUGUUGGUGAUGGACAGCAUCAACUUGGAGUACUCCUUGACAUACUCCUUGAGCGUCUCGGUGUGUUUGAUCCGUCGUAAUUGCUUCCUCGCAAGAUACUCGAUGUGCUCGGAGUAGAACUACGCCUUGAGCUCGUGCACGAAGUCCUCCCGCAUCUUCAAGCUGCAUUGGCCCUUCUUGGCCUCUACAGAACGCCGACGCUACCACAGCAUCGCGUCGUCAGCAAAGUACAUAGACGCAGCCUGGACUUUCUCCUCCUCGUCGUCCAGCUGCAACGCCUUAAAGUAGCGCUCCAUGUGCCACAAAAAACUAUUGAUCUCCUUCUCGUCGCGGGUACUCCUAAAAUUUUGAGGCUCAGGGACACGUACCUUCGAAGCGGAUUCUCUUUGGGGUUCAUUCCCACGCACCACUGCUUUUUCAAGGAUCGUCACUCUCGUCUCGAGCUCCUCGACCUUGUCGACUCGAGCAACGAGCUCCUCAAUCAGAUUCUUUCGCUCCUUGUCACGACGAGUCAUGUUGCCCUAGAGCUUUUCAAGUUCGCUUCGAAAGGUCGCCAUGGCAGUAGCGGCGUUUUCCUCCAUACUGCUGACAUCUUCAUUAAAAGAGUUAAAAGAAUCAGCCAUUUCGGUGUACCUAUCACCCAUUUUUUAUAUGAUGUCCUCCAACAGCGCAAGGCGGCCCUCCAACGACGCAUAAUCCCUCGUGAUUCGCGUCUCUCUACUCUUGGUCCGCUUAGAGGGCUUCUUUGGAGGGUCACCCCCUAUGUUGACAACUCCCGCAUCGAAUGACGAUAUAGUUCCUUGCUCGAACCGGCUCUGAUACCAACUGUCAUGGAUUUAGCGUUUUCGUUCGCAAAGCCCAUACGGCGCCCGCCUUCCUGCUCGAAGAUGGGCAAGUUUUUGUCCCUGUUGUAAGCCCGGACCUUCGGGUCCUACGACUAAGUAUGUAAAGGGAAGAAACGAGAGAAAGAGGCAGAUGUUCACUCAAAAAACUAAGUACUCUACUACUUAGAAAAAGAGAUUACAGCAUAUAAACACGCUCUUUCUUGUGUGUCUUGGCCUUAGCCAAAUCCCACUAUUUAUAGGCCUAAGGAUACAUUGAAGCUAGCCACAUAACUCACCUACUAGCCUACUCAUAAUGAGCCCUGAUAAUAACCAAAAGCCCAAGAGUCACAGCAUAACUCAUGGCAGUUUUGUAACCCUUGAGCUUCCCACAGCCGGUUGGGUUUGGGUCUCCUUGACAACCCGAUUCAACCCGUUUCCACUAGCAGAGUUUGGCCGGGAACCGGGAUGCAUAGAAAUAUUUCUAAGUCCCUGACAGGUGGCUCUUAUCAAACCCAUUAGUACGUAUAUCACCUUUUAAGAUCCUGAUGUUUUCCUCAAGUCCAAACCCAAUAAAGAAUUAUUAGACGAUGUGAGAUUCUAAAUAUGGCUUCUAUCGGUUUAAGAGGUGACUCCCACCAAAUUCAUUAGUGUAGCAUUUUGUCUUGUUUAACACUUAGCUCUCAUACUUUCGGCUGGUAUACGACUCUGAUACCAAUUGUAAUAAUUAAAUUGCUAGCAAUAAUAACUCGUUGGGUCUCAACCAGCGGCCCAAAAUAUUCAAGCCUACUUAUUAUUGUUAGUGUGUAAGACCAUAUAUAUUUCAACUAAAAUUAUUUUUUUAUUGGAUAUAAGAUUAUUGAGGUGUUACAGUAUGACAAAUUUUAAAAAAUAAUUUGUGAAGGUAAAACAAAAAAAAAGUACGCAUUGGAAGGGGAAGGCUCCGCUCCCGUGGUGCGGAUCGACUGAGAAGUGCAUAAAGAAUCCAAACAACACUCCAUUUACCGCUAAAUCAAGGCUAAAAAGAAAAAAAAUUGUUAUUUAAUUUAGGAAAAACUUCAAAUACCCCUCCUGUGGUUUUGCACUUUCUCACUUUAUUAUCAUGUGAUUUAAAGUGUAUCAAGUUAGUACCCUAUAGUUUCACACUUUCUUACUUUAGUACGCUGUGGUUUAAAGUAUAUUAAGUUAGUACCUUGUGGUUUCACACUUUCUCACUUUAGUAUUCUGUGGUUUAAAGUGUAUCAAGUUAGUACCCUAUAGUUUCACACUUUCUUACUUUAGUACGCUGUGGUUUAAAGUAUAUUAAGUUAGUACCUUGUGGUUUCACACUUUCUCACUUUAGUAUUCUGUGGUUUAAAGUGUAUCAAGUUAGUACCCUAUAGUUUCACACUUUCUUACUUUAGUACGCUGUGGUUUAAAGUAUAUUAAGUUAGUACCUUGUGAUUUCGCACUUUUUCAUUUUAGUACUAUGUGGUUUAAUAUUUUAUUAAAUUAUAUACAAAAAAACUUCAGAUAUCCUAUCUAGGUUUACCGAAUAUUCAUUUUAGAACCCUUUAGUUUUAACUUUGUCACUGAUUUAACGAAGAAAUUACCUCGAAAUGAAUAAUAAAAAAAGAAAAAUGAAACCAUGGCCAAAGUAAUAAUUUGAUAUAAAAAUAAAACCACAGAGUACUAAAGUGAAAAAGUACGAAACUACAGAAUACUAACUUGAUACAUUUUAAACCACACGGUACUAAAGUAAAAAUGUACGAAACCACGUGAGAGUUUUGAAGUUUUCCCUUUAAUUUAACCCCAUAUAUGGGCACUCACCAAGAUAGAUGGAUAGCAACCGUGGGAUCCGAAUCGGUAGGCACUCAGCAACGUGGACGGCAACAGCGUGGUUGGAAGCGAUGGGAUUUCGGAAACGUGGUCGCCAACUGCGCGGUCGGAAGCCGGCAUACACUCUACCAGUGGACGGCAACACCACGGCUGGAAGCGGUGGGAUGAAAUGGAAGAUGAACGUGGGGUAGAAGCCGGCAGCACUCUGGGGAUGGAAUGGAAGAUGAACGCGUGGAUGCUAACGGUAGUGUUAGCAUUGUUUAUAAUCUAUUCAACUACCGAAAAAAAUAAUAAUGAUAUAAGGACAAAUUACACGUUCAAUCCUCAAAUUAUAAGGCACCUAAUAUUUAGGUCCUCAAACGCACUGUCGAUAUAAAAGUAAGACAACGUCGUUAUUAGUGGCACAUCAUUAAUUACAAAAACUACUGAAUUAUUUCUGCAUUAACAAUGCAUUAAUAUUUAGUCAAUCAGAAUUGAAUUAUAUGAUCGACUUAAUUAUAAAAUUUUGAAAGUUCAGACUAAAAAUUAUAAUGAAUUAAAAUUUGAGAAUCACAAUAUCGAUCACACGACUCAUAGUUUGAGGACUAAACAUGCAACUUAGCUAAAUAAUAAUAAUGAUUGACUCAACUACGCCGUCGUCUGUAUCUAUGCGCAUAUAUACAAUCUUUUAUUAUAAUUAGGUAAUAUGUAAUGGUACGAGUCGACAAAUAAUACCGAUACUAAUCUAUACUAUCUUAUUGACUUGACUCAAUGAACGGUGACAACAAAUACUAUCUUUUUCUAAUGUGUUUGGUUAAUUGGAUAGAAUUGGAUCGAAUCCAACCAGAAAAACUUCGUAUAUUUUGUGUGUGUGUGUGUGUAUAUAUAUAUAUAUAUAGAACUAGGCUGGAAUACUAUCAAUAGCACAAAACUAUUGGUGCUAUUAAUUUUUUAGUCUUUGGAUUGAGAAAUGUGCGGUUAGGAUGAUGUGAGCCUCCUAGAGUUGAGUGGAUUGUUGGUUAAAUAGUAUAAUCUAACGGGUAAAAAUAAUCAAAUAGUUAAAUCUAACGGUGGAAAACUCGAUAGCACCAAACUCCUGCUGCUAUCAAUAGUAUCCCAGCCGGACUCUAUAUAUAUGUUAACAUUCUAAUCUGUAUCUAAUAUCAGACCUGUCUCAAAUAAAAUCCGCAUGUAUGAAUGUAUGCCAUGAAUUAUUAUAAGUCCAUGCGUAUGGGUAAUAUUACGAUCUCAAACUGCUUUAGUUUGAGACAAGCCUCAUAUGUAUAAUUUUCGCACUGAGUUGCCUUAAUUAUAACUUUCGCUCGUGAAAUCUGUGGAAUGUAUCAUUCACCCACAACGUAUGAGGUCCAGUAAAUCUGAUCAUAUUCAAACAGCUAGUGAGUAGUCACCCACAACUUUAUAAAUUAUCUGUCGAUAAUGUAUUUAACUUGUUUAUAUUUAUUUGCUGCAAAUUUCGUGUUGAAUAUGACAAGGGGAGUUUAUAAAUUCAUUAAUAUAUAAAACUAUCUAAUAAUUACCUCCGAUGGAGUAUAAACUAAAAUUAGCGAAAUAUGAGACUCAUCAAAACUGAAAGGCUGAAACUCCUUCCUAUAACAGUUUUAUGAAUAAUUUGUGUUCACUGUUUGGUUCAAUCUAGCUAGAGGCAUAAAACAAAAAUAAAAGGAAAAAAAAAAAAUCGUACCUUAUUCACGUGUGUCUUUUUGUAACAUUUUAGCAAAGGGUUUGGUGGUUGGUACUCGAGACCCAAAUUCGAAUCUUAGUUGAUUCACAUUUCCAGCUAAGUUUAUUUCCAAAUGAAAUAAACGAAGCGGGUAGCGUGCUACCUAUCUCUCAAAAAAACAAAAUAAAAAAUGUUUAUUAUUUAUUAGCAAAUGUUAUUGUAUGGCCAAUAUGUAGGUUUCUUUCUACGCGGUUAAUAAUACUCACUUAUUUUUAUUUUUUUUUUUUUAAAUUCGAGUUUUUUUUUUUUUUUUUUUUUUUUUGAGCAAUGCUCUUUGUAUGUGUCAAAAGGGGUGGUGUAUAUUAUGCACAUCUCAAUAACAGGCUUUGUCUUGUCAAUUUUUUAAAAAAUAUUAAAAAUUUAAGAAAUUUUGUAAAUCUUAUUUAAAAUGAUGAAAUGUCAAUCAUACAUUUUUUUUAAAGUAUACAUCUUACUAUAUGUACUCCCAAAAUAGAAGUGUAAAUUUUAAUUACAGCCCAUCUAUAUCCAAGGAUCGAAAUAAUUUUUAUGAAAUUUUAGUAUUAAAAAAAUAAAAUUGUUAUAAAACUAGUGCGAUUAAAUUGAUCCGACAUUGGUCUUAUUACAUGAGACAAACAUAUAUACCAGGCAUCUAUUAGCAUGGACAAGAAGAGGUGCAACUUGCCAUUGUUUAGAACCUACUCAUGCAACUUGCCAUGCAUUGUUUAUAAUCUACUCAACUACGUACCGUAAAAUAAUAAUGAUAUAUAUAUAAUUAAGAUAUAAAAUGUAUUGGCACAAGUCGACAAAUAAUACCAAUACUAAUCUAUACUUUCUUAUUGACCUGAGUCAGUGAACAUUGACAACAAAUAUAUACUACCUUCUCUAGAUAGCAACUCUCUCAGAACUUUGUUCUGAAACCUGCUGGGUUAAGGCUUCUACUAAAUAUUGUUAGUGACCCAAAAUGUGUUUGGUUAAUGGGAUCGAAUCCAACCAAAAAUUAAGUUCAAGUUAAUAGUUGGAUAAACUUCUUUUAUUAUGUAUAUAUAUGUUAUAUAUAUAGCUUUCUAAUUUGUGUCUAAUAUCAGAUCUGUCUUAAACAGAAUCCACAUGGAUGAAUGUACCCUGUGAAUGAUUAUAACUCCAUGCGUGUGGGUAAUAUCUUGGGCUCAAACUGCUUUAGUUUGACACAAGUCACGUAUAAUCUUCGUGUGCUGAGUUACCCUGAUUAUAACUUAAUUUCUGUUCAUAAAUUAUGAGGAAUGUAUCAUUCACCGGCAACAUAUGAGGUCCGUUUAAUCUUAUCAUGUUCACACCGUAAAGAGUAACCAAAAGCACAAGAGGUACUACAACAACAAAAUUAAAACACUCAAAUUCACAUACAAACACGACAUAAAUUUCAGGUUUACAGGGUCUUUAGUUUACACCGUACUAAACAUAAUACAUUAAGAGAGAAGAGGAUGAAAACAUAUUAUAUUUUAAGACCACAAUGCACACCAUGCACAAAAUUAACCAAACCAAGUCUUCGACAACACCGACCGUCCCUAGAGCAAGUGGCAAAGGGUUUCGUGGUUGGUACCCGAGGUCCCAAGUUCGAAUUCUAGUUGAUUCACAUUUCCAGCUAAGUUUAUUUCUCAAUGAAAUAAAAGAAGCGGGUAGCGUGCUACCUAUCUCUCUAAAAAAAAAAAAGUCUUCGACAACAAAAUUAAAACACUCGCAUACUAAUAUAUUAAUAAUUCUAGGUCUUCAGAGUCUUCUGCGCUGUACAAAACAUAAUACAUUUUAAACAAAAAAAAGUGAAAUAUAAUACAUUUUAUGACCACAAUGCACACCAAGCACACCCUUUUUUUUUUUUUUUUUUUUUUUUUUUUUUUUUUUUUUUUUUUUUUUUUUGCUUGUUUUUGGCUUCUUUUUUGUGAUGGACGAACCAAUUCUUAUACAACAUCAAUUAACAAUCCACACAAAUAGCAAUAUAGAAUCACAUACACAUUAACAAGCCUUUUUUUUUUCUGUUUUAAUUUUCAUUUUUUUUGGCUCUUUUUUUUUUGGAUGGCCAAACCAACUCUUUGACAACAAUUAAUAACCCACACAAUAACAAUAUACAUACCCAUUAAUAAACCUUUAUUCUUUUAAUUUCCCCCAUCUUCAGAAGCUAAUUGCCCAUCAGAUGCCUGCAAAAAGAUUGCGAAACCAAUACAGAAUGAGAACACUAAAAAAUAAGCACAAUGAAAAAUAAAGUGAUACAAAACGUUCAAAUAGAUUAGAAGGAUGCAAUUUGAAUUGCAAGAUCAUGAAUCUUAUCCUUUCAAUUAUGGGAUUCAUAGAAAAUUACAGCAAGAAAACUGAUACAAAAUACUUUUUUAUCACACUUUUGAAUCUGCAGGAAUUAAAAGUAAGGGAAGUAAUACAUCUGAAUCAUGUUGAUUUAGCAAUUAAGAUUCGAAAAGGACAAUGAUUAGAGAAUAGGACUGUAGGAUUGUAUCAUAACACCAACAAUAUAAAAUCCAAUCCCAGAACCAAAUUAUACUCGAGCACUCAACCCUAGGAGACCACUAUUAAUCUAACCGAAGACCACUAUUAUCCUAACCGCACAUCCCUUCAUCCAAUGAUCGAAAGCUUAUAAGGACAAAGGGUUCUAUACACAGAAGAGUAUAGUAUUAGUAGCCCUAGCCUAUAUAUGAGUCCGGCUACUAUAUUCUUAUGAGUAUAAGCCCAGUGUUAUUAGAAGCACGAAAGCCUCUGUGCUCCUAAGCCGUUUUCGAUGAUGGAGCUUCCGAAUCGACGAUCAGCUCUGUUAAACUUGAUCUAGCGUAUUUGAAGUAUCUAGAAAUUAAAUUUUAUGAUUUUUCGAUAUCAUUUACCAAUUUUAAUUAUCGAAUUAAUGACAACCAAUAAAAUUUUACAAAAAUAUAAAAGCUAAUUAAAUUUCUAUUGCUGUUAAAUUUUUGUAGAGUAGGCCUUUCAUCGAAUAGAGUAAUGCUUCAGAUAGCUCAUCAUUUGUUAGUUCGUACUGUACAAAUUAAUUUGCAUGUGGCACACAAUGUGCUGGUACACAAGUCUAUAACAGUACAAUUUGCGUGUCACAAUGCUCAAAUGCACAUACAUUAUUAAUUUUUUUAAUAAAGAUCUUUAAAAGUAGUACCUGUAGCAAUACUCAAAAUAUAUAAAUUGCGGUAUCUCCCUUGAUCAAGGUUUCCUUUAUUGCACAAUAAUACUAUGAAAAUGUAAAAAAAUUAACAGUAACAACAUAAAUAUAGUAUAGUAUUCUUUGUACAUUCGCCACAAUUGAUGAGAGGUAAUACAAGGACAAAAUUAAAACACCCAAAUCCACAUACAAUCAUGACAUAAAUUUCAAGUUUACAGGGUCUUUAGUUUACAGUGUAGAAAACAUAAUAAUACAUUAAGACAGAAAAAGAUGAAAACAUAAUACAUUUUAAUGACCACAAUGCACACCAAGCACAUCCCUUUUUCACAACACCGAUUAACAAUCCACACAAUAGCAAUAUAUAUAGAAUAGCAUGCCCAUUAACAAUUUUUUUUAUUAUGUUUUUAUUUUGUUUUUUUUUUUUUUUUUAUUUUUUUUUUUUUUUGCUUUUUUUCUUUUGGAUGGCCAAACCAACUGUUUGACAACAAUUAGCAAUCCACACAACAGCAAUAUACAUACCCAUUAAUAAACCUUUUUUUUCCCAAAUCUUCAGAAGUUAAAAAAAGCCCAUCAGUUACCUGCAGAAAGAUGGUGAAGCAGACAUAGAAUUAGAACACUGAAAAGUGAGCGCAACGAGAAAUAAAGUGAUACAUAACAUUCAAAUAGAUUAAAAGGAUACAAUUUAAAUUGCAAGAUCAUGAGUCUUAUCCUUUGAAUUUUGGGAUCCAUAGAAAAUUACUGCAAGAAAACUGAUAUAAAAUACUUUCUUACCACACUUCUGAAUAUGCAGGAAUUAAAAUAAGAAAGGUAAUACAUCUGAUCCAUGUUGAUUUAGCAUUAAGAUUCGAAAACGACAACGAUUAGAGAAUAGGACUGUAGGAUUGUAUCAUAACACCAACAAUAUAAAAUCCAAUCCCAGAACCAAAUUAUACUCGAGCACUUUAAUAAUGAUUCUACAUUUGAUGCCCUGAAAGAAAAAAAAAAAAAAUUGAAAGAGUAACUUACAUAGAAGUGCAGGAUGAGUACAGAAGUGAAUGCAUCCACACACUGCAGGGAUAAAUAAUAUUUUUAUCUUCGAUAGAUAGAUGAGUGAUUAUAAAGCAUUUCAAUCUAAAACUAGGUCAGUUACAUCGUUUUUAAUUCUAAUCUCAAAACACAUAUAUAGGCGAGGUGCAGUGAAGUUUGAAGUACUUCAAGAUCUUCGCUGAUUCAUCAAGAGAUGGACUGAUUAACUUAUGCACUUUUAAUGAGGAAAAAAGAAUAAGAAGAUCAGGAAUUCAAGGUUUGCCAAUUCGUAAGAACGGGAAGGCGAUACGUACCUUUUUUCCACAUUACGGAGCAUGUUCGAAGCUGUCUUCUACAGGGAUGCCGUUGAGCAUACGCCUGCCCGAAAGGGGGUCAAUUUCUACGGAUUCCUUCUCUAAAAUCGGACAUCCGUGUAUUGCUAAACUCUUGAGUGACCUGGGCAAAUUCAUCACUGCCUCCAGAUUCGAGCAGUUAUGCAGAAUGAGAAAUUCUAGAGAGUGCAGUUCCUGCACAUCCACCGAGGAUAAGAGCCCAGGACAAUGCCUAAUACUCAAGGAGCGAAGAGAUCGGAGGUCGCCAAACUGUAACAAUGCUGUUCGCAUACGACAAUGAGUAAUCAUAAGAUCAGAUAGACAUGGCAAAUCUGCAUUGGCUAGGAUUACAUCUACAUCUGCACAAGAUGCAAAAGUGACAAUCUCCAACGAUGACGGCAGGAAAGUAGUUUCACUGUCCAAGCAGGGGCAUCCAAAUAGAAAGAGAUCUCUGAGACAAGGGAGGGAUCCCAUACCACCCAGCGAAGUGACGGCCCAGCACUCUCGCAGAAUUAUAGCUUGGAGUGAUGUUAACUUGCCGAGGACAUCUUCAGAUGGCAGACAGGUUACUGUUCUGAUCUCUUCUAGCGACAAGCGGGUGAGGGAGGUAAGAGUUUGUAGGCUUGCCGACAAUGCGCGGUUAGUAAUGUUGCAUCCCUUAAGCCAGAGCUCGGUAAGGGUAGAGGGCAGAAGCAAUUUGGCCUCAUUUUGUCUGUUGUAAAUCAAUUCCAUCUUUCGCUCGUGAAUCUCCAACCAUCUCUCCCAGUCAUCGGUAAUAGCCACGUCGGCGGCAGGCACACUCUUAUUAUGCUCUGCAGAGCUAGCUUCAUUAUUGUUGGAGUCAUUCAUUGAGGCUAUGCAAUUCAUCAUUUCUUUUUCAUCGUUGAGUAAGGACUCUUGAUAUUGGUGGGAAAACCAUUUCCGCAUCCUUUUCCUCAUGACCUCUAUUAUGGAUCUCUUGUCGGCUGGGCUCAUAUGCAGGUCUUCUUUUGUUACAAAGACGAGAGACGGUGUAUUUUCUAUUAUGAGUAUUGUAAGCUGUGGGGGAAGGGCAUGUAAUGCUUUAAGUUUAGAAAGAUGCGAGAGCUCAAGUGAUCCGCAAGAAGGGUAAUUCUGGUCCAUUCGCGAGAGCUCUUCAAGCAUUCCACACCUCCUCAGCGCAAGUUUUUGAAUAUUGCGUGUUUGAUAUUCGGGCCAAGACGGACAUGACCGUCCUCGGUACCCAUCUAACAUCAGGCUGGUAAGAUAGGGAGGCAAUUGGAGGCCCUCGAGAAUUUCAACAUCCAAAUUAGAAUUUACAUUGUCCUCACCAUCGCGCCAUACCAACUGGAGCAUAUCAAGAUGCUUCUUUUCUUUCAAAUUGGCUGCAAUGGCACUCUCCUUGCUCUCAACAUUCUCAAGAUUAGCAAUACGCAAGCAUCCUCGAAGCUCAUUCAAGUUCUGUAGUUGCUCUAGCUCAUAUCCUUUUUCCUUUCUCACCGGAAAAUUUUCUAGGCCUUGCAAGGAAGUUAACUUGCCAACGUCAGGUAUCGCCGAAAUUAUAUCAGAAUUUGCCUCUAGAUACCUCAAGCUAACCAAGUUAUUAAGACGCUUAGGAAGCGAGCUAGCGCUUUUUAUUCGCAGCACUUGUAACUGAUACAGAGUACACACCGACUCCGGCAACACAAACUCACUAGUACUUGAUACUUGUAGGACGCGAAGGUGCUUCAUUCCACUUAUAACCUUUGCCAAAUUUUCUAGAUUUAACUCCAAAACCAGCACGCGCAAUUUUUUUAAGCUGAAUUUUUUUAAGCUGUUGGAGAUGUCGGUCGCAACUUGUUCUUUUGAGGUGACGCUUUCUCCUUUAGUGACUAUUAGGGUGCGGAGUUUCUUUAGUUUGCAAAUUUCCUCCUUAUUCUCGUUCAGUUUGUUAGCCGGUAUGCACAGAUGGCGAAUAGUUGACGGGAUCUCGCUUUGACGAUUACCUUCUAUUCUAACACAAUAAUUGCGAGUAACCUUUUCUGCUAGAUCAUACAACAAUUCAUGCAACUUAUAGUAGCGGACAAUCUUAUAUGUCCCAGAGGAGUAGUGGAUUCUGUUAUGAGGCUGAAUGUAGAAACUGGACACCAGCUUUUCAAGGUAACCUUUGCCUACAUCCUCCAUUCUCUUAUUCUGAUCAUCCGGCUUGAUAAAACCUUGCGCUAUCCAGAGAUGGACCAGUUCUAAAGCUUCGAACUCGUAGCCUUUAGGAUACAUGCUACAGUACGAGAAGCAACGCUGAAGAUGUGCAGGCAAAUGCCGAUAACCCCACAUCAUUGCUUUGGUUUUGUCGUCAGACCAGUCCUUUUGUGCAAUCCUUUCCAAAUAUGCAUGCAAAUUACCUUGUGAACGAAAGAGGCGAGCCAUCUCCGUAGCGAUCGUCUUGCCGACCAUCUCGGCCGCCGUAGGGUCCUUGUUCAACUUCUUAGCAAUUGUCUUGCAUUUCUCUUCUAAAUCUUUUCUCAAGCGAGAAUUGAUUUCCCCGCUAGGCAAUGCGUAGUGAAUGAAAAGAUCCGAAAAGUAAUUCUCUUCCAUAUCUUCCAACGGGACAAUGUGUUCUACAGGAGCACCAACAGCAGCAGCAAUCUUUCUCGGCGCAUCGUCCGUCUGAGACGUAACUAAAAUCUUGCUCCCCGGCAAACAACAACAUUUGCUUAAACAUCUUAGUGUUUUCCAACUAUUCUCGUGGUCUUCCCCGUCGCACCAAACAUCAUCUAUCACGAGCAGGAACUUCUUCCCGUUCAGCUUUUCGUUCAUUUUCAGCCGCAGCGCUUCAGGCGAGCUAAGGUUACCAAGAUCUUGAGGCUCACCUGCAAUAGAAGCCCGUUGUAUGAUCUCUUUCAUAAUUUCGGAUGCGUUGGAAUUGCAAGAUGCGUAGACCCACAUGACGAGAUCAAAAUGUUGUCUGUCGCCUAGUUCGCUCCUCAACUGGUCAAAGACGUACUGUGCAAGAGCAGUCUUCCCGACCCCCGGGCGACCAACUAUGGCAAUUAUAGGGAUGCCCGAUGAUGAUCCAGUCCCGCGAAUUGCUGCUGCAGGUUCUGUUUUCAAACGCCGAAUGAUGUCUUCGCGAUCUUCGUCGCGGCCGAACACUUCCUGGGGAGGCACUGCGAUGGUCUGCCUGCUGUCUGCUGUCUCAGGCUGGGCGCCUAACAAAGUGCUGAGUUCCUUGGCUUCUCCGGCGAUGUUUUUCAGCUUGUUCAGCCUUCGCUUCAGCUUGAUCUUUUGAAGCGACAGCAUGUCCCGGCCGCCUUUUAUCACCCAUUUCACAGGUUUUGGUACGUGAAAAAAGGAAGAAGAACGUACCGGAUUAUAAGUUGGCCUCUUACCACUGCUCCUCCUUGCGGCCGCCGCCGCCUUGCGUCUGAGGCGGUCGUAGCGGAGGAGGUCCAGCGCGUCCUCCGCGCCGUCGUAGGCGUCUUUCAGCCUCUGCAGCCAGCCCUCCACCUCGCUCCGGGGCGCGCUGUCUUGCGCGCUGUCUUCCGCUUUCUCGAUCACCGAUUUCAGCACCGGGAGGACGGUCUUCUCCAUCUCGUCCAGCUUCUUCUCCGCGUUGAUGCCUAAGCUGGCGAAGCCUUCGUCGAGCAGCAUCUUCAAGAGUGGAGACGCCACCCAUCCCAGCGCCGCUAAUCCGAUCGAUUCUAGUACUGGCAUUGGUGUGUUGCAACUAACAAUCGUAGGAGUAGAAAAUUAAAAAUAUAAAACUAGAGAGUAAUAAAUUAAUUAGAUGGGACGAAUGAAUAAUCGAUUGUACGGUCACAUAUCAUCAUACAUAGUGCAUUGACUUGACCUCACACGCACGAGUCGAUCUAAACUCGUUAAACUUCUACGGUGCCGAUUAUCAAUUUGAAGUUUCGAUCAUUCAAAUCGACUUGACAGGACAAGGGUCCCAAUCCUAUUAAUAGGAUAGUAACCGGACCCUAUAUAUAUAUAUAUAUAUAUAUANNNNNNNNNNNNNNNNNNNNNNNNNNNNNNNNNNNNNNNNNNNNNNNNNNNNNNNNNNNNNNNNNNNNNNNNNNNNNNNNNNNNNNNNNNNNNNNNNNNNNNNNNNNNNNNNNNNNNNNNNNNNNNNNNNNNNNNNNNNNNNNNNNNNNNNNNAUAUAUAUAUAUAUAUAUAUAAAAUUGAGCUUCUAUGCUUUUAAAAGUACCAAGUCAUUGGUGCUUAUAAGUUUUCAGCCCUUGGAUUAAGGGAUGUGCGGUUAAAAUAAUGUGGGCCCCUUAGUAUUGAGUGGGUGGUUGGUUGAAUAGUAUAAUCUAACGGGUAAAAAUGAUCAAAGAUAUAGAUCUAACAGUAAAAAAUUUACAAGCACCAAGUGCUUGGUGCUUUUACAAACGCCAUAGCCGGACUAAGCUAGACCAUUCUAAUUAAUGAGUCUUUUGCUUAUGAAUUUGUUUCUUUUGUUGUUGUUAAAUGGUAUAUGUUAGAGAUAAAUAUAUGAUCUUUGCAACUGAGGCAUUUUCCCUUGCAGUCCCUUUCAUGGCCCUCACCUAAUUAGGCUAAUGGCAAACCAUAAGCUAACACAAACACCAACUAAGCCUACUCUAGUCUGAGGUUAGUCCAUGAGAAUUCAGUGGUGAAGCUUCGUCGAGUCUCUCAAACGAAGAAAAUGUGUUGGUUUUAGGCCUAAUUUUCUCCCCUCUAAAUAGGGGUGGAAACGAGCCGAGCUCGAGCGAGCUUAUGUCAGCUCAAAUUCGACUUGAAAUUAAUUUCGAGCCUAAAUCUAGGCUCAAGCUCGGCUUGAAAUUAAUUCGAGCCGAGCUCGAGCGAGCCUAAUUUCGAGUCGAGCCGAGCUCGAGCUCUAAACGAGCCGAUUGAAAUUCUCGAGAUUAUAUAAUCAAUAGUUUAAUUUUUAUAUAACAUUACCUACAAUUUGAUGCAACAUGUCCAAUAGAUCAAAAUAUAAAAUAAUUGCAAGAAAUGUGAGAUAGGGUGACUACUUGAUUGGGUGAGGGUCUGAGAGAGAACGAGAGAGAGAGAGAGAGAGAGAAGGAAAAAAAAAAUAGGGAUUUUGAGAAUUUGAAUGUUAUCAUAUUUUGGGGUUAUGUGCAACAGUGAAAAUCUGAAAGAGAUAGUGUGUUAUGUAAAUUUAGAGUUGAGCUCAAUUGCACGGUUGUACUUGUUGGGUUUAUUUUAUGGGCUAACAAUAAUGGCCCAAAUUAAAUUUAAAAGCGUACAUAUAAAUUAAGAAAUAGCAUUAAUUAUAAAUAUUUUAUAGCGUACGGUUUAGGCCGUACCUAGUAUAGAUAGCAGUCCAGCUACUUAUCCUUAUUUAAUAGGGAUUGAGCCAUUGUGCCUAUCAUAGUCGUUGUUCGAGGUUUGAAUCGGAAGCUUCAAAAAUUGAUAAUUCGGCAGCCGGUUGAAAUUGGAUCUACACAAUUAGGAACAUGUUUAGAAAUCAAAACUUUAGUUAAUAUUUAAAAAUCAUUAUUUCAAGUUCAUCUUACAGGAGUUUAAAAAAUGACGACGGUCGUAGAAUGAAUGAACCUUCUUAUAAAUAGAGGUUAGACUUUCUCAAUUCAUAAUGCAAGGUUAUCAAAACAUGCGUACUAAAUGAGUAUAAAAAAGGUUUCUAUCCGAAAAAUUCAAGCAAUUGAUUGCUCUCGUACACUCGUUAAACAAAAGGCAAACGGCUUAAUAGCCGGGUCACAAAUGGUCGACUUUUACGACACUUUGGAUCACGCAUGUAAAUAAUUUUUAAAUUAUGAGGGAAUUUAGUGUUCUAGAUAGUUUCAAGAUACUCUAGAUCAAACUUCACGGCUUUUUCCGAUCAUCGAUCGGCAAUCUCGCAUCAUCAAAACAAUUGGAUAGGACAAGUCCCCUGACCUACUAAUAGAUAGUAGCUCUAGCCGGGGUAUAUAAUUAGGUAGCUACGUGAUAGCUAAUAGGUACCUAGUAUAUAGGUAGUUAUAUAGGUAUAGCAGUCCGGGUCUGACGUGUACGUUUAUGAAGUAUUGGCUGCUGUUUGAAUACUCAUAAGUUUUCGACCCUUAGAUUUUAUUCCAUAAAUCGAUUUUCAGUCCGUGGUGAGAUCAUUACGCUUAUGUUAACUAACUACCCACUCAUACCCCGUAGGGGGAGACUAUCAUUUCUAAUUGGGGGGACCGACCAUCCGAUACGUAACCACACAUCGGAGCCAGCAAUCAACGAUUAAAAGAUUUAUGAGUACGAGGACGUCUAGCCCAAAGCAUAGGUUAUAUAUUAAGAUACUACGUAUUAUAGGUAUACUAGGUAUAGUAGUAGUGUAGUAGUUACUUAUAUAGUAAUAUAGUGUAGUAGGUCAUAGUAUAUAUAUAUAUAUAUAUUCGAGCUUUUCGAGCCUAAUUCGAACGAGCCGAGUAGUACUCAAGCUCGGCUUGAAAUGAAUCUCGACCCUUUUAUUUUGUUCAAGCUCGGCUCAUUUAAUUUCGAGUCGAGCUCGAACGAGCCGAAUAUCGAGUCGAACACGAGUCGAACGCGAGCCAGACGCGAGCCAGCUCGCUCGUUUGCCAGCCCUACCUCUAUCUAUGCUCUAUUCCUAUUUUCAGGGAUUCACUAAAUGCGUAAUUUGACCACCCUCUUUUCCUCAAUUAAUGAAUAUUUUGAUUUCUCUAAUGCAGUAGCCUUUGCAAAUGGGCCCUGCUAUUUGACGGUAACUUACUAUAGAUAAGAUCAUGUGUUGAAAAUUAGGCCUCCGUGCUUCCGAGUCAUUUUUUUCUGAGCCGUUUUCGAUGAUGGAAUUUCGAAUCGACGAUCGGUUCUGUUAGACUUGAUCUAGCGUAUUUGAAGUUUUAGAAUAUAAUUUUUGCGAUUUUUCGAUAUUAUUUACCUAGCAAUCGAAAGGAUUCAAAAUCAAUAAUUUUUAACGGCUGAAAAUAAAAAUCUUAUAAAAAGUGAUGAUAUAGCACUAAAAUUUUUAAUCAGAAAUAUUAAUAUUGUUGUACAUAGUAUAAAAAAUUUUGUAUCAAAAUUUCAUCUGAUUUGAAUACUUCUACACCGUUAAACUUGAAAACGGUAGAUAUCAACCAUUAAAAAUUAUUGAUUUUUAAUAUAAAUAUUUAUGAAUUUCAAAAAUAUAAAGUUUUAAUAUUCAAAAAUAUAAAUUUAAAUUUUAAAUUUCAAAGUUUAAAUUAGAAGAUUAAUUAAAAUUUAAAUAUUAAUUUUAAUUUGAAUUUAAAAUUAAUUAGAAUUUUAAUAUUUAGAGAAUAUAUUAAAAUUUAAAAUCUCAAAGUUUAUAAUUUAAAAUUUACAAUUUAAAUUAAUUUAAAAUUUAAAAUUUAAAAUAAUUAUGUAAUUAAUAUAAAAUUUAAAAUUUAAAUUGAAUAUCUAAAAUUUAAUUUUUAAAAUUAAAUUUAAAUUUUUAAAUUUAAUAAUUUGAAGUUUCAACUGUAGUAUUAAAUUUUAAAUUUAAUAAUAUUUAAAUUUUAAAUUAAUUUUAAAACUAAAUGUCAAAAUUUUGAAUUUUAUAUUAAAUUUUGAAAUUUAAUUUUCGAAAUUUUAAAAUCUAACAUUUGAGAUUUAAAUUAACAUUUCAAUUUAAUUUAGUUGAAUCUAUUUUUUUAAUUUAAAUUUUAAAAGUUAAUGUAAAAAUAACAUAAUGAAUCCUGAAUAUUAAAAUUUAACAUUAAUAUUAGUAUUAAGCUUGAUAUUUAAAAUUAAAUUCAAUUUGAGUUUGGCNNNNNNNNNNNNNNNNNNNNNNNNNGUCCCUAAGUGAUUUACGCAUUAAACUGGUGGGAGAAAAGGAGUUAAUUACUUAUAAAACUAAAGAGAUUACGUCAUCGGAAACGUUUACCCGGGACGAUAAACUGCCAUUGAAUGAUAUCUAUUCUAGUACACAACUUUUAAUCCGGAGGCACGAAGGCUCAGUAAAAAAAGACUCGGCAAAAGCUACUACCUUAAAGCUUAGCUGCUAGCCAAGACAAUCUGAACUAGAUCGCAUAAACUUCAAAAUCUUAUAUUAAAAACGCUUAAAAUUUAUAAUUUAAAAUUGGAUUUUUAGCUUUCCUAAGUUUUAGUUAUUAAAUAUUGCCGACUUUUAUUUUUAGAAUAUUUUUCACUACUAUAUCGUGAUUUUAAAAAUUAGUCUUUAUAAUUAUAAUAACAUGUUUCAUAUUUUUUAAAACAUAGUUUUAAAGUAGACUCAACUUAUGAAGAUGUGGCAAAUUUGAACUUNNNNNNNNNNNNNNNNNNNNNNNNNNNNNNNNNNNNNNNNNNNNNNNNNNNNNNNNNNNNNNNNNNNNNNNNNNNNNNNNNNNNNNNNNNNNNNNNNNNNNNNNNNNNNNNNNNNNNNNNNNNNNNNNNNNNNNNNNNNNNNNNNNNNNNNNNNNNNNNNNNNNNNNNNNNNNNNNNNNNNNNNNNNNNNNNNNNNNNNNNNNNNNNNNNNNNNNNNNNNNNNNNNNNNNNNNNNNNNNNNNNNNNNNNNNNNNNNNNNNNNNNNNNNNNNNNNNNNNNNNNNNNNNNNNNNNNNNNNNNNNNNNNNNNNNNNNNNNNNNNNNNNNNNNNNNNNNNNNNNNNNNNNNNNNNNNNNNNNNNNNNNNNNNNNNNNNNNNNNNNNNNNNNNNNNNNNNNNNNNNNNNNNNNNNNNNNNNNNNNNNNNNNNNNNNNNNNNNNNNNNNNNNNNNNNNNNNNNNNNNNNNNNNNNNNNNNNNNNNNNNNNNNNNNNNNNNNNNNNNNNNNNNNNNNNNNNNNNNNNNNNNNGUUAUAAUAUUUAAUCCAAUAAUUAGAAAUGAUAAAAGGAGUUGAUCCAAAAAUUAAAAACUUGGUAGAAAAAAAAAUCUUUUGCUAUUAAUAGUAUUCUAACCCAACUCUAUAUAUAUAUAUAAUAUUUUAAUUAUAUAUAGGCUGAGUGAAUAACCUGAGUCUAGUUAAAAUUGGGCCAAUGUUGUUGGCCCAUAAAAACAAACCUAAUAAACAAAUAUAAAAGCAAAAUUUCACUAAAUUUAUACAUUUUUCCUUUCUUUUUUUCUUUCACAGAGCUCUAAAUUUUUAAUAUGUUUCUCUCAUUCUCUUUUUCUGUCUUUCACCGUCAAUGGCCAGGCCGGAAGCCCUCAAAGUUACCAGCAUAUGCCCGCCGUUGCCUACCUUGCUAUUAAUUGUAUGCUUGAGAAAAUAUACAGAAUAUUUUUAAAGUAAAAAAUUAUUAUUUAUAUAAGAUUUUAAUUUAGUUAUAUAUGAUUGGAUAGUUUAAUCCAAUAUUUAUCUAUAUAAUUUAUUUAUUUUUGACAGUAUAAAUAAAAAUGAAUAAUAUGAAGAUUGAAGGCGAAAGAGAAGCAAUGUCAGGCUGAAAAGAUUAGACAUUCAACUCAUAAAUUAUUUUUUUUUAUAUUAUAAUACUAUAUUUCAUAUAAUUAUUUUGUACUUUGAACUAUUAGACAUAUUUUUGUAUCAAAUUAUAGAUUAUAUCUAUACAAAUUAACUAUUUGAUCGUAUAAUGUCGAGAUUUCAAGCUGGUUCGCUUAGGGCCUCGAGCUCGCUCAGACUCGAAUUCAGGCUUGCUCGAGCUCGGCUCGAAAUUAAAUUUUCAUCCAAGCUUGAGCUUAUAAUUUAGGCUCGAACUAAUUUUCAAGCCGAUUGAGCCGAGGUAAGGCUCAUUCGAGUUCGGCUCUCGUUUCACCCUAGGUCUGGAUGGGCCUUUGCCUACUUAGGAUGUCUGUUCUGCUCUGGUGGGUAGCUCUGUCUGAGAGGCGAUGGGUAUCAUAGGUAUCUGAGAGGCCCCCCCCCCUUUCUAAAAGCCAGAGCUGAGCAUUGAAAAAGUUGGAGGACGUGUAUUACAUGGGAUAAACAUUUGGUUGGGCAUCCGACCACAGACAACUUAUUAGGGGCGGAGCCGAUGGGUCCGGUAUUAAUAUGAUAAAAUUUCUGAGCUGUGCGCACCCAUCGCGACCCUCGGAAACGUGCAGAAAGAGAAAAAAAAAAUUUUGUGCGGGCUCCGAUUUUUGUAGAGAGAGAGAAAUGAGAAAGAAGCCGGCUGGUGAAAAAGGGGUGGUGUGGUGCAUGGGCGUCGUACACAUGCGGUGCCCAUCGGCUCCGUCCCAAACAAGUUGUUUGGGUGCCCACUAAAUUUUUAUCCUAUUUACAUGUGUAGGGAAUUCGCAUUCAUGGCUCAGGUAGGGGGUGGCAAUCCCAGUCGCUGUUCCGCGAGCCAGCUCGUGUUCGGCUCGAAAUGAGUGCCGAGAUCGGCUCGCUCGUUUAGUAAACGAGCCGAACACGAGCUGGAUUUUUCAGCUCGUUUAAUAAACGAGCCGAACACGAGCUGGGUCAGCCUGCAUGUGUUCGGCUCGAUAACAGCUCGAUUAUAUUUAUUUUAUAUUAUAUAAUUUUAUUUAAUUAUAUAUAUAUAAUUAUAUGUGUUUAUAAAUAGUAUAAUACAUAUUAUUAUAUAUAUAUAUAUAUUUCAUUUCAAUUGAUUAAUCCCUGUUUACAUUAUACUUGGUAUUUAUACUAUUGGUGUGAUUUUACUGAAGUGUAAACAACUCAAUCUAUGAGGUUAUACAGCAAAAUGACGAAUUGAGGAAAAAACUCGUAUAGGCUGCCACUGAUGCUAGCUGGGGCCCCGCUGGGCUUGGCGUCUUGUCUUCCUUAAGUAAUCCCGCUAUCGGUUAAAUGGGUACCGGGUUGGCUUAUCCGGCACGAUCCUCACAGGAGUGGGUAGUGGGCUCGUGUUUCUCACCGACUCAGAUGGUUCGACGGCCCGUCCGCCACGGCUGAAGUAUUACUACUUCGCCCCCAAGCCAUAGAUUCUGUCGGAUCUCUCUUGGUCUCGCAUCUUUCUUGCUUCCAGGAUGCCCUAAUCGACCUUGGUCCUCCUCUAGCAGCCGUCCGCCCGCUUGCGAGGGCACCUCCGACGGCUCGACCUGCACGACGACUCCUCCUUCAUCCCGAGCUGCUGCCAUUUUUUCUCUCCAUUUUAACUAGUAAAGUUGCUAUUUUUUUUUGCUAACUUCCUCUGUUAACUACUAUUCUACAUUAUUCUUCAGGGUAGUUACACUUCGACGGCGACACUUGGCGGCAGGACAUUCGGCGACAGUGUGAAGCAGCGACUUUGCGGCCAGCGAACUCAGGUAGCAUUAUAUAUUGAGCUAACAAGCCGAACACGAGCCGGCUCGAUUAAGUUUCAGCCGUCACGAUAUGUCCAAAGGUUUUCGAGCUCGUCACGAGCUCGAGCCGAACAGAUGCGGCCUAGAAGACUGCGAGCCGAUCUCGAGCUGGCUCCAGCUCGCUCGAGUUCGGCUCGUUUACAGCCCUAGCUCCAGGCAAACAACAAAACUUUUGGAUCUGGUCGAGGGGACUAGUACUAUACUAUAUUGAGAGAUCGUUAAUUGCAUUUGUUUAUCAUAUCACAGAAUAUUACUGUACAUAGUUAUAUAAAUUUCAUAUCAAAUCUAUUUCACUAGUAGAAAGAAAAAUAUUGAUAAGACCAGUGAAAAAAUAAAGGUCAGUCAGACAAUUCCAGGAAUAGAAAAUUAAAAAUAUAAAAAUAGAGAGUAAGAAAUUAAUUAGAGGAGAUGAAUGAACGAUUGAUUGUACGGUCAAAAUCAUACAAUUCAGGAAUAGAAAAUUAAAAAUAUAAAAAUAUGGAGUAAGAAAUUAAUUAGAGAAGAAGAUUAAAUGAUUGAUUGUACGGUCAUUACAUCAUACAUAGUGCAUUGACUUUACUCUGACAAGCACAAGUCAAACCUAAACUUAUUAAAACCCUUCUUACAAUUUUAAUAAACAAUAAAAGUAUUUAUAAAAUAAAAAAAUUUUCAAUACAUAGUUAAGCUCAAAAUAAUAAAAUUUAGAAUAAACUUUAAAAAUCAUUUCUAUGAUUUCGCACUUUCUCACUUUAAUACUCUAUAGUUUAAAAUAUAUUAAGUUGGUGUCCUGUUGUUGUAUUUUUAUCUUUAUGUCAACUUCUUCGUUAAUAUUUUGUUAAAUUAUAUACAAAAAAAACUUCAAAUAAUACACCUAGGUUUAUCAAAUAUUCACUUUAGUACCCUUUAAUAUUAACCUUGUCAUUGAUUUAAUAAAAAAAAUUAGUGAAAUCGAUAAUAAAAAGAUAAAAAUAAAAUCACAGGAUACUAAAUUGAUAUAUUUUAAAUCAUAGAGUACUAAAGUGAAAAAAUGUGAAAUCACAGGAAUGAUAGUUAAAGUUUUUUCUAAAAUUUAUCCUUAUUAACAAA